rnacentral:lncRNA from 1 species
CCCAACAACUCUUCUUGUACUUCGUCUCGGGCGGUGUCCAUAGUUUCUACAAAUAUUUAUAACAUGGCAAUUAUUAUUCAAACAUGACAGAUGGAUAUAUUAGUGGCAAACGUAGAACUAAUAUUAAUUAGUGGCCUCGACGCUACUUCUCUAGGGUUUGGGGUGGCCUCGACGCUGCUUCUCCAGGGUUUGAAGUGGCCUCGACAACGCUUCAAGGAUAAAAAAAGAAGAGGAAGAAGAAAAAAAGGGGAGAAGAAAGAAUAGAUCCUCUUUUUUUUUCUUCUUCUUCCUCUUUUUUUUUAUCGGGAACGAGGGUCGUCGACGCCCACGUCACUUGUGGGACGUGGAUGUAGUGUCCGACACCGAUGGCCACAUGUAUCUCACACCCACGAUACUUACUAUUUAGGGUUUCCUCUACCGCUCGGCGACCCUGACCCUCGACGACCCUCGUUUCNNNNNNNNNNNNNNNNNNNNNNNNNNNNNNNNNNNNNNNNNNNNNNNNNNNNNNNNNNNNNNNNNNNNNNNNNNNNNNNNNNNNNNNNNNNNNNNNNNNNNNNNNNNNNNNNNNNNNNNNNNNNNNNNNNNNNNNNNNNNNNNNNNNNNNNNNNNNNNNNNNNNNNNNNNNNNNNNNNNNNNNNNNNNNNNNNNNNNNNNNNNNNNNNNNNNNNNNNNNNNNNNNNNNNNNNNNNNNNNNNNNNNNNNNNNNNNNNNNNNNNNNNNNNNNNNNNNNNNNNNNNNNNNNNNNNNNNNNNNNNNNNNNNNNNNNNNNNNNNNNNNNNNNNNNNNNNNNNNNNNNNNNNNNNNNNNNNNNNNNNNNNNNNNNNNNNNNNNNNNNNNNNNNNNNNNNNNNNNNNNNNNNNNNNNNNNNNNNNNNNNNNNNNNNNNNNNNNNNNNNNNNNNNNNNNNNNNNNNNNNNNNNNNNNNNNNNNNNNNNNNNNNNNNNNNNNNNNNNNNNNNNNNNNNNNNNNNNNNNNNNNNNNNNNNNNNNNNNNNNNNNNNNNNNNNNNNNNNNNNNNNNNNNNNNNNNNNNNNNNNNNNNNNNNNNNNNNNNNNNNNNNNNNNNNNNNNNNNNNNNNNNNNNNNNNNNNNNNNNNNNNNNNNNNNNNNNNNNNNNNNNNNNNNNNNNNNNNNNNNNNNNNNNNNNNNNNNNNNNNNNNNNNNNNNNNNNNNNNNNNNNNNNNNNNNNNNNNNNNNNNNNNNNNNNNNNNNNNNNNNNNNNNNNNNNNNNNNNNNNNNNNNNNNNNNNNNNNNNNNNNNNNNNNNNNNNNNNNNNNNNNNNNNNNNNNNNNNNNNNNNNNNNNNNNNNNNNNNNNNNNNNNNNNNNNNNNNNNNNNNNNNNNNNNNNNNNNNNNNNNNNNNNNNNNNNNNNNNNNNNNNNNNNNNNNNNNNNNNNNNNNNNNNNNNNNNNNNNNNNNNNNNNNNNNNNNNNNNNNNNNNNNNNNNNNNNNNNNNNNNNNNNNNNNNNNNNNNNNNNNNNNNNNNNNNNNNNNNNNNNNNNNNNNNNNNNNNNNNNNNNNNNNNNNNNNNNNNNNNNNNNNNNNNNNNNNNNNNNNNNNNNNNNNNNNNNNNNNNNNNNNNNNNNNNNNNNNNNNNNNNNNNNNNNNNNNNNNNNNNNNNNNNNNNNNNNNNNNNNNNNNNNNNNNNNNNNNNNNNNNNNNNNNNNNNNNNNNNNNNNNNNNNNNNNNNNNNNNNNNNNNNNNNNNNNNNNNNNNNNNNNNNNNNNNNCGGGACUAAAGGGGGGCAUUGGUCACGGUUUGUGCCACGAACCGUGACCAAUGCCCCCUUUAGUCCCGGUUGGUGCCAUCAACCGGGACCAAAGGCCUGCGCCUGCCAAAGCCGUGGUGCGGUAGGAUGUUUAGUCCCACCUCGCUAGCUGAGGAGCGGCCGCACCUGUUUAUAAGCGCUGCACCUGUUUGGGCCUAAUCUCACAACGCUAUGCCUGCUGGGCCUUCUGCGGGCCUGAAUCCUGGCCCAUGGAUGGGCUUCUAGUCGUAUUCAGGCCGUGGUGGCCCAGUAGGUGGCAUUUUUUAUUACUAUUUGAUUUUUCAUUUCUACUUAGAACUAAAUACUUGUAGUUUUUUAGUGAUUUUUUUCUUUUAGGUCACAAAAAUUAUAAACUUUCUAUUAUUGCCAUUAGUUUUAAAAUUUGAAUAGUUUAAUUUUGAAUUUUUUAAAAUUUGUGUGAAUCACUAGUUUAUGAAUAACUUUACCGUAAAAAUUGAUUUUUGAGUCAUUUUUUUCCUGCUAUUUAAUAUUACUGUGUUUUAUCAUUAUACUCAAUUUGGUAAUUUUAGUUAGUCAUAACAAAUAUUAUAGGCAUUUUUUUCUUUUUUGCUAUUUUUUUUCAUUUCUACUUAGAACAAAAUACUUAUAGUUCUUUAGUGAUUUCUUUUUUCUUUUAGGUCACAAAAAUUAUAAACUUUCUGGUAGUUCCAUUAGUUUUCANNNNNNNNNNNNNNNNNNNNNNNNNNNNNNNNNNNNNNNNNNNNNNNNNNNNNNNNNNNNNNNNNNNNNNNNNNNNNNNNNNNNNNNNNNNNNNNNNNNNNNNNNNNNNNNNNNNNNNNNNNNNNNNNNNNNNNNNNNNNNNNNNNNNNNNNNNNNNNNNNNNNNNNNNNNNNNNNNNNNNNNNNNNNNNNNNNNNNNNNNNNNNNNNNNNNNNNNNNNNNNNNNNNNNNNNNNNNNNNNNNNUUAAUUCUUUUUGCUUUUCGUUUUAGAAAAAUUAUAAACUUUCUGUUAGUGCCAUUAGUUUUCAAAUUUGAAAACACUUUUUUAGUUUUUUUGCUUUCUUUGUUGCUUUAUUUAUUUUAUUUUGUUUCUACUUACAAAAAAAUACUUAUUGUUGCUAUUUUUUUUCAGUUUUUGUUUUGUUUUCUUUAUUAUUUAUUUUCUUUUGUUUUUUGCUUUAAUUUUUAAUUCUUUUUGCUUUUAGGUCAGCAAAAUUAUAAACUUUCUGUUAGUGCCACUAGUUUUAGAAAAAUUAUAAACUUUCUGUUAGUGCCAUUAGUUUUCAAAUUUGAAUAGUUAAAAUUUGAAUUCUUUAAAAUUUGUAUGAACCACAAGUUUGUGAUUAACUUUACUAAAAAAAUGAACAUAGAUGCACCUAUAGAGAAAAUUCGACCUAAAUUCAUAGUUUUCAAAUGAACUCUCAAAAAGUUGGCAUAGCAUACUCGUGUGUUACAAAGUUGGCAUGGUAUCAUCAUAAUAGUUGCUUGAGAAAGUCUUCACUUUUUCUUCGCUUGUGUCAUUUGCUUAUUGCGCCGUAACCAUGGAUAAUCUUCAUCGUUUAUCAGGAUGCUUGGGUCAGCCUUGACAUUGAAGGGAGGAAUUUCAUGAAACUUUUCAUAAUCUUCAGACAUGUCUGUCUUGCCCUCCACUCCCAGGAUAUCCCUUUUUCCUGAAAGAACUAUAUGGCGCUUUGGCUCAUCGUAUGAUGUAUUCGCUUCCUUAUCUUUUCUUUUUCUCGGUUUGGUAGACAUGUCCUUCACAUAGAUAACCUGUGCCACAUCAUUGGCUAGGACGAACGGUUCGUCAGUAUACCCAAGAUUUUUCAGAUCCACUGUUGUCAUUCCGUACUGUGGGUCUACCUGUACCCCGCCGCCUGACAGAUUGACCCAUUUGCACUUAAACAAAGGGACCUUAAAAUCAUGUCCGUAGUCAAGUUCCCAUAUGUCCAUUAUGUAACCAUAAUAUGCAUCCUUUCCGCUCUCGGUUGCUGCAUCAAAGCGGACACCGCUGUUUUGGUUGGUGCUCUUUUGAUCUUGGGCGAUCAUGUAAAAUGUAUUCCCAUUUAUCUCGUAUCCUUUGUAAGUCAAUACAGUCAAAGAUGGUCCCCUGGACAACAAGUGCAACUCAUCACAAACAGUGUUGUCACCUCUGAGACGUGUUUCCAACCAACUGUUGAAAGUCCUGAUGUGUUCACAUGUAAUCUAGUCGUCGCACUGCUCCGGAUGUUUGGAGCGCAGACUGUUUUUGUGUUCAUCGAUAUACGGGGCCACCAUGGUAGAGUUCUGUAGAACUGUGUAGUGUGCUUGAGACCAAGAAUAUCCGUCCCUGCAUAUUAUUGAGUCACUUCCAAGAGUGCCUUUUCCAGUCAGUCUCCCCUCAUACCGCGAUUUAGGGAGACCUAUCUUCUUAAGGCCAGGAAUGAAGUCAACACAAAAUUCGAUAACAUCCUCUGUUUGAUGGCCCAUGGAGAUGCUUCCUUCUGACCUAGCGCGGUUACGGACAUAUUUCUUUAGGACUCCCAUGAACCUCUCAAAGGGGAACAUAUUGUGUAGAAAUACGGGCCCCAGGAUGACAAUCUCGUCGACUAGAUGAACUAGGACGUGCGUCAUGAUAUUGAAGAAGGAUGGUGGGAACACCAGCUCGAAACUGACAAGACAUUGCGCCACAUCACUCCUUAGCCUUGGUACAAUUUCUGGAUCGAUCACCUUCUGAGAGAUUGCAUUGAGGAAUGCACAUAGCUUCACAAUGGCUAAUCGGACGUUUUCUGGUAGAAGCCCCCUCAAUGCAGCCGGAAGCAGUUGCGUCAUAAUCACAUGGCAGUCAUGAGACUUUAGGUUCUGAAACUUUUUCUCUGGCAUAUUUAUUAUUCCCUUUAUAUUCGAUGAGAAGCCAGUCGUGACCUUCAUACUGAGCAGGCAUUCAAAGAAGAUUUCUUUCUCUUCUUUCGUAAGAGCAUAGCUGGCAGGACCUUUAUACUGCUUCGGAGGCAUGCCGUCUUUUUCAUGCAAAUGUUGCAGGUCCUCCCAUGCCUCGGAUGUAUCUUUUGUCUUCCCAUACAAGAAGCCUACCAGGUUCACACAAAGGUUCUUCAUCACGUGCAUCACGUCGAUUGAAGAGCAGACCUCUAGGUCUUUCCAGUAGGGUAGGUCCCAAAAUAUAGAUUUCUUCUUCCACAUGGGUGCGUGUCCCUCAGCGUCAUUCGGAACAGCUAGUCCGCCGGGACACUUUCCAAAGAUUACAUGUAAAUCAUUGACCAUAGCAAGUACGUGAUCACCGGUACGCAUGGCGGGCUUCUUCUGGUGAUCUGCCUCGCCUUUGAAAUGCUUGCCUUUCUUUCGACAUUGAUGGUUGGUCGGAAGAAAUCAACGAUGGCCCAGGUACACAUUUUUCCUGCAUUUGUCCAGGUAUAUACUUUCAGUGUCAUCUAAACAGUGCGUGCAUGCGUGGUAUCCUUUGUUUGUCUAUCCUGAAAGGUUACUGAGAGCGGGCCAAUCAUUGACGGUCACGAACAGCAAAGCCUUUAGGUUAAAUUCCUCCUGUCUAUGGUCAUCCCACGUACGUACACUGUUUCCAUUCCACAGCUGUAAAAGUUCUUCAACUAAUGGCCUUAGGUACACAUCAAUGUCCUUGCCGGGUUGCUUAGUGUAGGGGAACAUAGUAAUUUCAAAAUUUUCCUACGCACACGCAAGAUCAUGGUGAUGCAUAGCAACGAGAGGGGAGAGUGUUGUCUAUGUACCCUCGUAGACCGAAGCGGAAGCGCUGACACAACGUAGAGGAAGUAGUCGUACGUCUUCCCGAUCCUACCGAUCCAAGCACCGUUACUCCGGCACCUCCGAGUUCUUAGCACACGUACAGCUCGAUGACGCUCCCCAGGCUUCGAUCCAACAAAGCUUCGGGGAUGAGUUCCAUCAGCACAACGGCGUGGUGACGAUGAUGAUGUUCUACCGACGCAGGGCUUCGCCUAAGCACUACAAUGAUAUGACCGAGGUGGAAUAUGGUGGAAGGGGGCACCGCACACGGCUAAGGAACGAUCACGUUGAUCAAUUGUGUGUUCUAGGGUGUCCCCUUGCCUCCGUAUAUAAAGGAUCCAAGGGGGAGGGGUUCGGCCGGCCCUAUGGAGGCGCAGGAGGAGUCCUACUCCUACCGGGAGUAGGACUCCCCCCUUUCCUAGUCCAAGUAGGAUUGGUGGAGAAGAAAGGGAAAGAGGGGGGUGCAGCCCCUCCCUCCUUGUCCAAUUCGGACUAGGGGGAGAGGGGGCGCGCGGCCUGCCCUGGCAGCCCCUUCCUAUUCUCCACUUUAGGCCCAUGAGGCCCAUUAACACCCCGGGGGGUUCCGGUAACCCCCCGGUGCUCCGGUUUUAUCCGAAACUUCAUCGGAACCCUUCCGGUGUCUGAAUAUAGUCAUCCAAUAUAUCAAUCUUUAUGUCUCGACCAUUUCGAGACUCCUCGUCAUGCCCGUGAUCACAUCCGGGACACCGAACUAACUUCGGUACAUCAAAAUGUAUAAACUCAUAAUAACUAUCAUCGUAACGUUAAGCGUGCGGACCCUAUGGUUCGAGAACAAUGUAGACAUGACCGAGACACGUCUCCGGUCAAUAACCAAUAGCGGGACCUGGAUGCCCAUAUUGGCUCCUACAUAUUCUACGAAGAUCUUUAUCGGUCAGACCGCAUAACAACAUACGUUGUUCCCUUUGUCAUCGGUAUGUUACUUGCCCGAGAUUCGAUCGUCGGUAUCCAAUACCUAGUUCAAUCUCGUUACCGGCAAAUCUCUUUACUCGUUCCGUAAUACAUCAUCUCACAACUAACUCAUUAGUUGUAAUGCUUGCAAGGCUUAUGUGAUGUGCAUUACCGAGAGGGCCCAGAGAUACCUCUCCGACAAUCGGAGUGACAAAUCCUAAUCUCGAAAUACGCCAACCCAACAUCUACCUUUGGAGACACCUGUAGAGCACCUUUAUAAUCACCCAGUUACGUUGUGACGUUUGGUAGCACACAAAGUGUUCCUCCGGCAAACGGGAGUUGCAUAAUCUCAUAGUCAUAGGAACAUGUAUAAGUCAUGAAGAAAGCAAUAGCAACAUACUAAACGAUCGGGUGCUAAGCUAAUGGAAUGGGUCAUGUCAAUCAGAUCAUUCAACUAAUGAUGUGAUCUCGUUAAUCAAAUAACAACUCUUUGUUCAUGGUUAGGAAACAUAACCAUCUUUGAUUAACGAGCUAGUCAAGUAGAGGCAUACUAGUGACACUCUGUUUGUCUAUGUAUUCACACAUGUAUUAUGUUUCCGGUUAAUACAAUUCUAGCAUGAAUAAUAAACAUUUAUCAUGAUGUAAGGAAAUAAAUAAUAACUUUAUUAUUGCCUCUAGGGCAUAUUUCCUUCAGUCUCCCACUUGCACUAGAGUCAAUAAUCUAGAUUACACAGUAAUGAUUCUAACACCCAUGGAGCCUUGGUGCUGAUCAUGUUUUGCUCGUGGAAGAGGCUUAGUCAACGGGUCUGCAACAUUCAGAUCCGUAUGUAUCUUGCAAAUCUCUAUGUCUCCCACCUGGACUAGAUCCCGGAUGGAAUUGAAGCGUCUCUUGAUGUGCUUGGUUCUCUUGUGAAAUAUGGAUUCCUUUGCCAAGGCAAUUGCACCAGUAUUGUCACAAAAGAUUUUCAUUAGACCCGAUGCACUAGGUAUGACACCUAGAUCGGAUAUGAACUCCUUCAUCCAGACUCCUUCGUUUGCUACUUCCGAAGCAGCUAUGUACUCCGCUUCACAUGUAGAUCCCGCCACAAUGCUUUGUUCAGAACUGCACCAACUGACAGCUCAACCGUUUAAUGUAAACAUGUAUCCGGUUUGUGAUUUAGAAUCGUCCGGAUCAGUGUCAAAGCUUGCAUCAACGUAACCGUUUACGAUGAGCUCUUUGUCACCUCCAUAUACGAGAAACAUAUCCUUAGUCCUUUUCAGGUACUUCAGGAUGUUCUUGACCGUUGUCCAGUGAUCCACUCCUGGAUUACUUUGGUACCUCCCUGCUAAACUUAUAGCAGGGCACACAUCAGGUCUGGUACACAGCAUUGCAUACAUGAUAGAGCCUAUGGCUGAAGCAUAGGGAACAUCUUUCAUUUUCUCUCUAUCUUCUGAAGUGGUCGGGCAUUGAGUCUGACUCAACUUCACACCUUGUAACACAGGCAAGAACCCUUUCUUUGCUUGAUCCAUUUUGAACUUCUUCAAAAUCUUGUCAAGGUAUGUGCUUUGUGAAAGUCCAAUUAAGCGUCUUGAUCUAUCUCUAUAGAUCUUUAUGCCUAAUAUGUAAGCAGCUUCACCGAGGUCUUUCAUUGAAAAACUCUUAUUCAAGUAUCCCUUUAUGCUAUCCAGAAAUUCUAUAUCAUUUCCAAUCAGUAAUAUGUCAUCCACAUAUAAUAUCAGAAAUGCUAUAGAGCUCCCACUCACUUUCUUGUCAAUACAGGCUUCUCCAAAAGUCUGUACAAAACCAAAUGCUUUGAUCACACUAUCAAAGCGUUUAUUCCAACUCCGAGAGGCUUGCACCAGUCCAUAAAUGGAUCGCUGGAGCUUGCACACUUUGUUAGAUCCUUUCGGAUCGACAAAACCUUCCGGUUGCAUCAUAUACAACUCUUCUUCCAGAAAUCCAUUCAGGAAUGCAGUUUUGACAUCCAUCUGCCAAAUUUCGUAAUCAUAAAAUGCGGCAAUUGCUAACAUGAUUCGAACGGACUUAAGCAUCGCUACGGGUGAGAAGGUCUCAUCAUAGUCAACCCCUUGAACUUGUCCAAAACCUUUUGCGACAAGUCGAGCUUUGUAGACAGUAACAUUACCGUCAGCGUCAGUCUUUUUCUUGAAGAUCCAUUUAUUCUCAAUUGCUUGCCGACCAUCGGGCAAGUUAACCAAAGUCCAUACUUUGUUCUCAUACAUGGAUCCCAUUUCAGAUUUCAUGGCUUCAAGCCAUUUUGCGGAAUCUGGGCUCACCAUCGCUUCUUCAUAGUUAGUAGGUUCAUCAUGAUCUAGCAGCAUGAUUUCUAGAACAGGAUUACCGUACCACUCUGGCGCGGAUCUCACUCUGGUUGAUCUACGAGGUUCAGUAGUAUCUUGUCCUGAAGUUUCAUGAUCAUUAUCAUUAGCUUCCUCACUUAUGGGUGUAGGUGUCGCAGAAACAGUUUUCUGUGAUGUACUUCUUUCCAAUAAGGGGGCAGGUACAGUUACCUCGUCAAGUUCUACUUUCCUCCCACUCACUUCUUUCGAGAGAAACUCCUUCUCUAGAAAGGAUCCAUUCUUAGCAACGAAUGUCUUGCCUUCGGAUCUGUGAUAGAAGGUGUACCCAACAGUCUCCUUUGGGUAACCUAUGAAGACACAUUUCUCCGAUUUGGGUUCAAGCUUAUCAGGUUGAAGCUUUUUCACAUAAGCAUCGCAGCCCCAGACUUUAAGAAACGACAACUUUGGUUUCUUGCCAAACCAUAGUUCAUAAGGCGUCGUCUCAACGGAUUUUGAUGCUGCCCUAUUUAACGUGAAUGCGGCCGUCUCUAAAGCAUAACCCCAAAACGAUAGCGGUAAAUCAGUAAGAGACAUCAUAGAUCGCACCAUAUCUAGUAAAGUACGAUUACGACGUUCGGACACACCAUUACGCUGUGGUGUUCCGGGUGGCGUGAGUUGCGAAACUAUUCCGCAUUGUUUCAAAUGUACACCAAACUCGUAACUCAAAUAUUCUCCUCCAUGAUCAGAUCGUAGAAACUUUAUUUUCUCGUUACGAUGAUUUUCAACUUCACUCUGAAAUUCUUUGAACUUUUCAAAUGUUUCAGACUUGUGUUUCAUUAAGUAGAUAUACCCAUAUCUGCUUAAAUCAUUUGUGAAGUUGAGAAAAUAACGAUAUCCGCCACGAGCCUCAAUAUUCAUCGGACCACAUACAUCGGUAUGUAUGAUUUCCAACAAAUCUGUUGCUCUCUCCAUAGUACCGGAGAACGGUGUUUUAGUCAUCUUGCCCAUGAGGCACGGUUCGCAAGUACCAAGUGAUUCAUAAUCAAGUAGUUCCAAAAGUCCAUCAGUAUGGAGUUUCUUCAUGCGCUUUACACCGAUAUGACCUAAACGGCAGUGCCACAAAUAAGUUGCACUAUCAUUAUCAACUCUGCAUCUUUUGGUUUCAACAUUAUGAAUAUGUGUAUCACUACUAUCGAGAUUCAUCAGAAAUAGACCACUCUUCAAGGGUUCAUGACCAUAAAAGAUAUUACUCAUAUAAAUAGAACAACCAUUAUUCUCUGAUUUAAAUGAAUAACCGUCUCGCAUCAAACAAGAUCCAGAUAUAAUGUUCAUGCUUAACGCUGGCACCAAAUGACAAUUAUUUAGGUCUAAUACUAAUCCCGAAGGUAGAUGUAGAGGUAGCGUGCCGACCGCGAUCACAUCGACUUUGGAACCGUUUCCCACGCGCAUCGUCACCUCGUCCUUUGCCAGUGUUCGCCUAAUCCGUAGUCCCUGUUUCGAGUUGCAAAUAUUAGCAAUAUAACCAGUAUCAAAUACCCAGGUGCUACUGCGAGCUCUAGUAAGGUACACAUCAAUAACAUGUAUAUCACUUAUACCUUUAUUCACCUUGCCAUCCUUCUUAUCCGCCAAAUACUUGGGGCAGUUCCGCUUCCAGUGACCAGUCUGCUUGUAGUAGAAGCACUCAGUUUCAGGCUUAGGUCCAGACUUGGGUUUCUUCUCCUGAGCAGCAACUUGCUUGCCGUUCUUCUUGAAGUUCCCCUUCUUCUUCCCUUUGCCCCUUUUCUUGAAACUAGUGGUCUUGUUGACCAUCAACACUUCAUGCUCCUUCUUGAUUUCUACCUCCGCAGCUUUCAGCAUUGCGAAGAGCUCGAGAAUAGUCUUAUUCAUCCAUUGCAUAUUAUAGUUCAUCACAAAGCUCUUGUAGCUUGGUGGCAGUGAUUGGAGAAUUCUGUCAAUGACGCAAUCAUCUGGAAAAUUAACUCCCAUCUAAAUCAAGUGAUUAUUAUACCCAGACAUUUUGAGUAUAUGCUCACUGACAGAACUAUUCUCCUCCAUCUUGCAGCUAUAGAACUUAUUGGAGACUUCAUAUCUCUCAAUCCGGGCAUUUGCUUGAAAUAUUAGCUUCAACUCCUGGAACAUCUCAUAUGCUCCAUGACGUUCAAAACGUCGUUGAAGUCCCAAUUCUAAGCCGUAAAGCAUGGCACACUGAACUAUCGAGUGGUCAUCAGCUUUGCUCCGCCAGACGUUCAUAACAUCUGGUGUUGCUCCAGCAGCAGGCCUGGCACCCAGCGGUGCUUCCAGGACGUAAUUCUUCUGUGCAGCAAUGAGGAUAAUCCUCAAGUUACGGACCCAGUCCGUGUAAUUGCUACCAUCAUCUUUCAACUUUGCUUUUGUUGGGGAACGUAGUAAUUUCAAAAAUUUCCUACGCACACGCAAGAUCAUGGUGAUGCAUAGCAACGAGGGGGAGAGUCUGAUCUACGUACCCUUGUAGAUCGCAACGGAAGCGUUGACACAACGUAGAGGAAGUAGUCGUACGUCUUCUUCCCGAUCCGACCGAUCCAAGCACUGUUACUCCGGCACCUCCGAGUUCUUAGCACACGUUCAGCUCGAUGACGAUCCUCGGGCUCCGAUCCAGCAAAGCGUCGAGGAAGAGUUCCGUCAGCACGACGGCGUGGUGACGAUCUUGACGUACUACCGACGUAGGGCUUCGCCUAAGCACUACAACGGUAUGAUCGAGGUGGAAUUUGGUGGCAGGGGGCACCGCACACGGCUAAGGAACGAUUUCAAGGAUCAACUUGUGUGUCUAUGGGGAGCCCCCCGCCCCUGUAUAUAAAGGAUGGAGGAGGAGGAGGCCGGCCAAGGCAAAGGUGCGGCCAGGAUAGGGAGUCCUACUAGGACUCCAAGUCCUAGUAGGAGUCCACCAAAAGGGGAGGAAGGGAGAAGGAAUAGGAGGAGAAGGAGAGGUGGCCGGCCCCCUUUUCCCUAGUCCAAUUCGGACCAAAGGGGAGGGGGGGCGCAGCAGCCUUUUCCUCUUCCCACUAAAGCCCAUCAAGGCCCAUUACUUCUCCCGUAACUACCCGGUACUCCGAAAAAUACCCGAAUCACUCGGAACCUUUCCGAUGUCCGAAUAUAGUCGUCCAAUAUAUCGAUCUUUACGUCUCGACCAUUUCGAGACUCCUCGUCAUGUCCCCGAUUUCAUCCGGGACUCCGAACUCCUUCGGUACAUCAAUACUCAUAAACUCAUAAUAUAACUGUCAUCGAAACCUAAAGCGUGCGGACCCUAUGGUUCGAGAACAAUGUAGACAUGACCGAGACACGUCUUCGGUCAAUAACCAAUAGCGGGACCUGGAUGCCCAUAUUGGCUCCUACAUAUUCUACGAAGAUCUUUAUCGGUCAGACCGCAUAACAACAUACGUUGUUCCCUUUGUCAUCGGUAUGUUACUUGCCCGAGAUUCGAUCGUCGGUAUCCAAUACCUAGUUCAAUCUCGUUACCGGCAAGUCUCUUUACUCAUUCUAUAAUACAUCAUCCCACAACUAACUCAUUAGUUGCAAUGCUUGCAAGGCUUAAGUGAUGUGCAUUACCGAGAGGGCCCAGAGAUACCUCUCCGAUAAUCGGAGUGACAAAUCCUAAUCUCGAAAUACGCCAACCCAACAUCUUCCUUUGGAGACACCUGUAAUGCUCCUUUAUAAUCACCCAGUUACGUUGUGACGUUUUGUAGCACCCAAAGUGAUCCUCCGGCAAACGGGAGUUGCAUAAUCUCAUAGUCAUAGGAACAUGUAUAAGUCAUGAAGAAAGCAAUAGCAACAUACUAAACGAUCGGGUGCUAAGCUAAUGGAAUGGGUCAUGUCAAUCAGAUCAUUCAACUAAUGAUGUGACCUCGUUAAUCAAAUAACAACUCUUUUGUCCAUGGUUAGGAAACAUAACCAUCUUUGAUUAACGAGCUAGUCAAGUAGAGGCAUACUAGUGACACUCUGUUUGUCUAUGUAUUCACACAUGUAUUAUGUUUCCGGUUAAUACAAUUCUAGCAUGAAUAAUAAACAUUUAUCAUGAUAUAAGGAAAUAAAUAAUAACUUCAUUAUUGCCUCUAGGGCAUAUUUCCUUCAGUCUCCCACUUGCACUAGAGUCAAUAAUCUAGUUCACAUCGCCAUGUGAUUUAACAGCAAUAGUUCACAUCACCAUGUGAUUAACACCCAUAGUUCACAUCGUCAUGUGACCAACACUCAAAGGGUUUACUAGAGUCAGUAAUCUAGUUCACAUAUCUAUGUGAUUAACACCCAAAGAGUACUAAGGUGUGAUCAUGUUUUGCUUGUGAGAUAAUUUUAGUCAACGGGUCUGUCACAUUCAGAUCUGUAAGUAUUUUGCAAGUUCUAUGUCUACAAUGCUCUACACGGAGCUACUCUAGCUAAUUGCUCCCACUUUCAAUAUGUAUCCAGAUUGAGACUUUAGAUUCAUCUGGAUCAGUGUCAAAAACUUGCAUCGACGUAACCCUUUACGACGAACCUUUUUGUCACGUCCAUAAUCGAGAAACAUAUCCUUAUUUCACUAAGGAUAAUUCUGACCGCUGUCCAGUGAUCUACUCCUAGAUCACUAUUAUACUCCCUUGCCAAAUCAAUGCAGGGUAUACAAUAGAUCUGGUAUACAGCAUGACAUACUUUAUAGAACCUAUGGCCAAGGCAUAGGGAAUGACUUUCAUUCUCUUUCUAUCUUCUGCCGUGGUCGGGCUUUGAGUCUUACUCAACUUCACACCUUGUAAUACAGGCAAGAACUCUUUCUUUGACUGCUCCAUUUUGAGCUACUUCAAAAUCUUGUCAAGGUAUGUACUUAUUGAAAAAACUUAUCAAGCGUCUUGAUCUAUCUCUAUAGAUCUUGAAGCUCAAUAUGUAAGCAGCUUCACCGAAGUCUUUCUUUGAAAAACUCCUUUCAAACACUCCUUUAUGCUUUACAGAAUAAUUCUACAUUAUUUCCGAUCAACAAUAUGUCAAUCACAUAUACUUAUCAGAAAUGCUGUAGUGUCCCACUCACUUUCUUGUAAAUACAGGCUUCACCGCAAGUCUGUAUAAAACUAUAUGCUUUGAUCAACUCAUCAAAGCGUAUAUUCCAACUCCGAGAUGCUUGCACCAGUCCACAGAUGGAUCGCUGGAGCUUGCACAUUUUGUUAGCACCUUUCGGAUUGACAAAACCUUCUGUUGCAUCAUAUACAACUCUUCUUUAAUAAAUCCAUUAAGGAAUGCAGUUUUGUUUAUCCAUUUGCCAGAUUUCAUAAAAUGCGGCAAUUACUAACAUGAUUCGGACAGACUCAAGCAUAGAUACGAGUGAGAAGCUCUCAUCGUAGUCAACACCUUGAACUUGUCGAAAACCUUUUUGCGACAAUUCUAGCUUUGUAGAUAGUAACACUACUAUCAGCGUCCGUCUUCCUCUUGAAGAUCCAUUUAUUCUCAAUUGCUUGCCGAUCAUUGGGCAAGUCAACCAAAGUCCAAACUUUGUUCUCAUACAUGGAUCAUAUCUCAGAUUUCAUGGCCUCAAACCAUUUCGCGGAAUCUGGGCUCAUCAUUGCUUCCUCAUAGUUCGUAGGUUCAUCAUGAUCUAGUAGCAUGACUUCCAGGAUUGGAUUACCGUACCACACUGGUGCGGAUCUCACUCUGGUUGAUCUACGUGGUUCAGUAGUAUCUUGUCCUGAAGUUUCAUGAUCAUCAUCAUUAGCUUCCUCACUAAUUGGUAUAGGUGUCGCAGAAACAGUUUUCUGUGAUGUACUAUUUUCCAAUAAGGGAGCAGGUACAGUUACCUCGUCAAGUUCUACUUUCCUCCCACUCACUUCUUUUGAGAGAAACUCCUUCUCUAGAAAGGAUCCAUUAUAAGCAACGAAUGUCUUGCCUUAGGAUCUGUGAUAGAAGGUGUACCCAACAGUCUCCUUUGGGUAUCCUAUGAAGACAUAUUUCUCCGAUUUGGGUUUGAGCUUAUCAGGAUGAAACUUUUUCUCAUAAGCAUCGCAACCCCAAACUUCAAGAAACGACAACUUUGGUUUCUUGCCUAACCAUAGUUCAUACGGUGUCGUCUCAACGGAUUUAGAUGGUGCCCUAUUUAACGUGAAUGCAGCUUUCUCUAAUGCAUGAUCCCAAAACGAUAUUGGUAAAUCGGUAAGAAACAUCAUAGAUUGUACUAUAUCCAAUAAAGUACGGUUAUGACGUUCGGACACACCAUUAUGCUGUGGUGUUCCAGGUGGCGUGAGUAGUGAAACUAUUUCACAUUGUUUUAACUGAAGACCAAACUCGUAACUCAAAUACUCUUUUCCACGAUCAGAUCGUAGAAACUUUAUUUUCUUGUUACGAUGAUUUUCCACUUCACUCUGAAAUUAUAUGAACUUUUCAAAUGUAUCAGACUUCUAUUUCAUUAAGUAGAUAUACCCAUAUCUGCUCAAAUCAUCUGUGAAGGUUUAGAAAAUAAUGAUACCCGCUGCAAGCCUUAAAUAUUCAUCGGACCACAUACAUUUGUAUGUAUGAUUUCCAACAAAUCUGUUGCUUGCUCCAUUGUUCCGGAGAACGGCGUUUUAGUCAUCUUGCCCAAAAGGCAUGGUUCGCAAGCAUCAAGUGAUUCCGAAAGCCCAUCAGCAUGGAGUUUCUUCAUGUGCUUUAUACCAAUAUGACCUAAACGGCAGUGCCACAAAUAAGUUGCACUAUCAUUAUUAACUUUGCAUCUUUUGGUUUCAAUAUUAUGAAUAUGUGUAUCACUACGAUCGAGAUCCAACGAACUUGUUUCAUUGGGUGUAUGACCAUCGAAGGUUUUAUUCAUGUAAACAGAACAACAAUUAUUCUCUGACUUUAAUGAAUAACCGUAUUGCAAUAAACAUGAUCAAAUCAUAUUCAUGCUCAACCAAAUAACACUUAUUUAAGUUCAACACUAAUCCCGAAAGUAUAGGGGAGUGUGUGAUGAUGAUCAUAUCAAUCUUGGAACUACUUCCAACACACAUCGUCACUUCACCCUUAACUAGUCUUUGUUUAUUCUGCAACUCCUGUUUCGAGUUACUACUCUUAGCAACUGAACCAAUAUCAAAUACUGAGGGGUUGCUAUAAACACUAGUAAAGCACACAUCAAUAACAUGUAUAUCAAAUAUACUUUUGUUCACUUUGCCAUCCUUCUUAUCCGCCAAAUACUUGGGGCAGUUCCGCUUCCAGUGACCAGUCCCUUUGCAGUAGAAGCACUUAGUCUCAGGCUUAGGACCAAACUUCGGCUUCUUCACUUGAGCAGCAACUUGCUUGCCGUUCUUCUUGAAGUUCCCCUUCUUCCCUUUGCCCUUUUCUUGAAACUAGUGAUCCUGUCAACCAUCAACACUUGAUGUUUUUCUUGAUUUCGACCUUCGUUGAUUUCAGCAUCACGAAGAGCUUGGGAGUUGUUUCCGUUAUCCCUUGCAUAUUAUAGUUCAUCACGAAGUUCUACUAACUUGGUGAUGGUGACUAGAGAAUUUUGUCAAUCACUAUCUUAUCUGGAAGAUUAACUCCCACUUGAUUCAAGCGAUUGUAGUACUCAGAUAAUCUGGGCACAUGCUCACUAGUUGAGCGAUUCUCCCCCAUCUUUCAGCUAUAGAACUUGUUGGAGACUUCAUAUCUCUCAACUCGGGUAUUUACUUGAAAUAUUAACUUCAGCUUCUGGAACAUCUCAUAUGGUCCAUGACGCUCAGAACGUCUUUGAAGUCCCGAUUCUAAGCCAUUAAGCAUGGUGCACUAAACUAUCAAGUAGUCAUCAUAUUGGGCUAGCCAAACGUUCAUAACGUCGGCAUCUGCUCCUGCAAUAGGUCUGUCACCUAGCGGUGCAUCAAGGACAUAAUUCCUCUAUGCAGCAAUGAGGAUAAAACUCAGAUCACGGAUCCAAUCCGCAUCAUUGCUACUAACAUCUUUCAACACAAUUUUCUCUAGGGACAUGUCAAAAUAAACACAGGGAAGCAACAACGCGAGCUAUUGAUCUACAACAUAAUUUGCAAAAUACUACCAGGACUAAGUUCAUGAUAAAUUUAAGUUCAAUUAAUCAUAUUACUUAAGAACUCCCACUUAGAUAGAUAUCCCUCUAAUCCUCUAAGUGAUCACGUGAUCCAAAUCAACUAAACCAUAACCGAUCAUCACGUGAGAUGGAGUAGUUUUCAAUGGUGAACAUCGUCAUGUUGAUCAUAUCUACUAUAUGAUUCACGCUCGACCUUUCGGUCUCUGUGUUCCGAGGCCAUAUCUGCAUAUGCUAGGCUCGUCAAGUUUAACCUGAGUAUUCUGCGUGUGCAAAACUGGCUUGCACCCGUUGUAGAUGGACGUAGAGCUUAUCACACCCGAUCAUCACGUGGUGUCUGGGCACGACGAACUUUGGCAACGGUGCAUACUCAGGGAGAACACUUCUUGAUAAUUCAGUGAGAGAUCAUCUUAUAAUGCUACCGUCAAUCAAAGCAAGAUAAGAUGCAUAAAAAGAUAAACAUCAUAUGUAAUCAAAAUAUGUGACAUGAUAUGGCCAUCAUCAUCUUGCUUCUUUGAUCUCCAUCUCCAAAGUACUGUCAUGAUCUAUAUCGUCACCGGCAUGACACCAUGAUCUCCAUCAUCUUGAUCUAUAUCAAUGUGUCGUCGUGUGGUCGUCUCACCAACAAUUGCUCUUGCAACUAUUGCUAUCGCAUAGCGAUAAAGUAAAGCAAUUACUGGACGCUUGCAUCUCAUGAAAUAGAGAGACAACCAUAAGGAUUUUGUCAGUUGCUGAUAACUUCAACAAAACAUGAUCAUCUUAUACAACAACUUAUAACUCAUCACGUUUUGACCAUAUCACAUCACAACAUGCCCUGCAAAAACAAGUUAGACGUCCUCUACUUUGUUGUUGCAAAUUUUACGUGGCUGCUACGGGCUUAGCAAGAACCAAUCUUACCUACGCAUCAAAACCACAACGAUAGUUUGUCAAAUAGACUCCGUUUUAACCUUCGCAAGGACCGGGCGUAGCCACACUCGGUUCAACUAAAGUUGGAGAAACAGUCACCCGCAAGUCACCUAUGUGCAAAGCACGUCGGGGAAACCGGUCUCGCGUAAGCGUACGCGUAAUGUCGGUCCGGGCCGCUUCAUCCAACAAUACCGCGGAACCAAAGUAUGACAUGCUGGUAGGCAGUAUGACUUAUAUCGCCCACAACUCACUUGUGUUCUACUCGUGCAUAUAACAUCAAACCAUAAAACCUAGGCUCGGAUGCCACUGUUGGGGAACGUAGUAAUUUCAAAAAUUUCCUACGCACACGCAAGAUCAUGGUGAUGCAUAGCAACGAGGGGGAGAGUCUGAUCUACGUACCCUUGUAGAUCGCAACGGAAGCGUUGACACAACGUAGAGGAAGUAGUCGUACGUCUUCUUCCUGAUCCGACCGAUCCAAGCACCGUUACUCCGGCACCUCCGAGUUCUUAGCACACGUUCAGCUCGAUGACGAUCCUCGGGCUCCGAUCCAGCAAAGCGUCGAGGAAGAGUUCCGUCAGCAUGACGGCGUGGUGACGAUCUUGAUGUACUACCGAUGUAGGGCUUCGCCUAAGCACUACAACGGUAUGAUCGAGGUGGAAUUUGGUGGCAGGGGGCACCGCACACGGCUAAGGAACGAUCUCAAGGAUCAACUUGUGUGUCUAUGGGGUGCCCCCUGCCCCUGUAUAUAAAGGAUGGAGGAGGAGGAGGCCGGCCAAGGCAAAGGUGCGGCCAGGAUAGGGAGUCCUACUAGGACUCCAAGUCCUAGUAGGAGUCCACCAAAAGGGGAGGAAGGGAGAAGGAAUAGGAGGAGAAGGAGAGGUGGCCGGCCCCCUUUUCCCUAGUCCAAUUCGGACCAAAGGGGAGGGGGGCGCAGCAGCCUUUUCCUCUUCCCACUAAAGCCCAUCAAGGCCCAUUACUUCUCCCGUAACUACCCGGUACUCCGAAAAAUACCCGAAUCACUCCGAACCUUUCCGAUGUCCAAAUAUAGUCGUUCAAUAUAUCGAUCUUUACGUCUCGACCAUUUCAAGACUCCUCGUCAUGUCCCCGAUCUCAUCCGGGACUCCGAACUCCUUCGGUACAUCAAUACUCAUAAACUCAUAAUUUAACUGUCAUGGAAACCUUAAGCGUGCGGACCCUACGGUUCGAGAACAAUGUAGACAUGACCGAGACACGUCUCCGGUCAAUAACCAAUAGCGGGACCUGGAUGCCCAUAUUGGCUCCUACAUAUUCUACGAAGAUCUUUAUCGGUCAGACCGCAUAACAACAUACGUUGUUCCCUUUGUCAUCGGUAUGUUACUUGCCCGAGAUUCGAUCGUUGGUAUCCAAUACCUAGUUCAAUCUCGUUACCGGCAAGUCUCUUUACUCGUUCUAUAAUACAUCAUCCCACAACUAACUCAUUAGUUGCAAUGCUUGCAAGGCUUAAGUGAUGUGCAUUACCGAGAGGGCCCAGAGAUACCUCUCCGACAAUCGGAGUGACAAAUCCUAAUCUCGAAAUACGCCAACCCAACAUCUUCCUUUGGAGACACCUGUAAUGCUCCUUUAUAAUCACCCAGUUACGUUGUGACGUUUGGUAGCACCCAAAGUGUUCCUCCGGCAAACGGGAGUUGCAUAAUCUCAUAGUCAUAGGAACAUGUAUAAGUCAUGAAGAAAGCAAUAGCAACAUACUAAACGAUCGGGUGCUAAGCUAAUGGAAUGGGUCAUGUCAAUCAGAUCAUUCAACUAAUGAUGUGACCUCGUUAAUCAAAUAACAACUCUUUUGUCCAUGGUUAGGAAACAUAACCAUCUUUGAUUAAUGAGCUAGUCAAGUAGAGGCAUACUAGUGACACUUUGUUUGUCUAUGUAUUCACACAUGUAUUAUGUUUCCCGUUAAUACAAUUCUAGCAUGAAUAAUAAACAUUUAUCUUGUGCUUGUGAUCUCCAUCUCCGAAGCACCUUCAUGAUCACCAUCGUCACCGGCGCGACACCUUGAUCUCCAUCGUAGCAUCGUUGUCGUCUCGCCAAUCUUAUGCUUCCACGACUAUCGCUACCGCUUAGUGAUAAAGUAAAGCAUUACAACGCGAUUGCAUUGCAUACAAUAAAGCGACAACCAUAUGGCUCCUGCCAGUUGCCGAUAACUUGGUUACAAAACAUGAUCAUCUCAUACAAUAAAAUUUAGCAUCAUGUCUUGACCAUAUCACAUCACAACAUGCCCUGCAAAAACAAGUUAGACGUCCUCUACUUUGUUGUUGCAUGUUUUACGUGGCUGCUACAGGCUUAAGCAAGAACCAAUCUUACCUAUGCAUCAAAACCACAACGAUAGUUUGUCAAGUUGAUGCCGUUUUAACCUUCGCAAGGACCGGGCGUAGCCACACUCGGUUCAACUAAAGUUGGAGAAACAGUCACCCGCAAGCCACCUUUGUGCAAAGCACGUCGGGAGAACCGGUCUCGCGUAAGCGUACGCGUAAUGUCGGUCUGGGCCGCUUCAUCCAACAAUACCGCCGAACCAAAGUAUGACAUGCUGGUAGGCAGUAUGACUUAUAUCGCCCACAACUCACUUGUGUUCUACUCAUGCAUAUAACAUCAAACCAUAAAACCUAGGCUCUGAUACCACUGUUGGGGAACGUAGCAAUUUCAAAAAAUUUCUACGCACACGCAAGAUCAUGGUGAUGCAUAGCAACAAGAGGGGAGAGUGUUGUCUAGAAGCGUUGACACAACGUAGAGGAAGUAGUCGUACGUCUUCCCGAUCCGACCGAUCCAAGCACCGUUACUCCGGCACCUCCGAGUUCUUAGCACACGUACAACUCGAUGACGCUCCCCGGGCUCCGAUCUAGCAAAGCUUCGGGGAUGAGUUCCGUCAGCACAACGGCGUGGUGACGAUGAUGAUGUUCUACCGACGCAGGGCUUCGCCUAAGCACUACAACGAUAUGACCGAGGUGGAAUAUGGUGGAAGGGGGCACCGCACACGGCUAAGGAACGAUCACGUUGAUCAAUUGUGUGUUCUAGGGUGCCCCCUUGCCUCCGUAUAUAAAGGAUCCAAGGGAGAGGGGUUCGGCCGGCCCUAUGGAGGCGCAGGAGGAGUCCUACUCCUAUCGGGAGUAGGACUCCCCCCCUUUUCCUUGUCCAAGUAGGAUUGGUGGAGAAGAAUGGGAAAGAGGGGGGCGCCGCCCCUCCCUCCUUGUCCAAUUCGGACUAGGGGGAGAGGGGGCGUGCGGCCUGCCCUGGCAGCCCCUUCCUCUUCUCCACUUUAGGCCCAUGAGGCCCAUUAACCCCCCGGGGGGUUCCGGUAACCCCCCGGUGCUCCGAUUUUAUCCGAAACUUCAUCGGAACCCUUCCGGUGUCCGAAUAUAGUCAUCCAAUAUAUCAAUCUUUAUGUCUUGACAAUUUUGAGACUCCUCGUCAUGUCCGUGAUCACAUCCGGGACUCCGAACUAACUUCGGUACAUCAAAAUGUAUAAACUUAUAAUAACUGCCAUCGUAACGUUAAGCGUGCGGACCCUACGGUUCGAGAACAAUGUAGACAUGGCCGAGACACGUCUCCGGUCAAUAACCAAUAGCGGGACCUGGAUGCCCAUAUUGGCUCCUACAUAUUCUACGAAGAUCUUUAUCGGUCAGACCGCAUAACAACAUACGUUGUUCCCUUUGUCAUCGGUAUGUUACUUGCCCGAGAUUCGAUCGUCCGUAUCCAAUACCUAGUUCAAUCUCGUUACCAGCAAGUCUCUUUACUCGUUCCGUAAUACAUCAUCUCGCAACUAACUCAUUAGUUGUAAUGCUUGCAAGGCUUAUGUGAUGUGCAUUACCGAGAGGGCCCAGAGAUACCUCUCCGACAAUCGGAGUGACAAAUCCUAAUCUCGAAAUACGCCAACCCAACAUCUACCUUUGGAUACAUCUUUAGAGCACCUUUAUAAUCACCCAGUUAUGUUGUGACGUUUGGUAGCACACAAAGUGUUCCUCCGGCAAACGGGAGUUGCAUAAUCUCAUAGUCAUAGGAACAUGUAUAAGUCAUGAAGAAAGCAAUAGCAACAUACUAAACGAUCGGGUGCUAAGCUAAUGGAAUGGGUCAUGUCAAUCAGAUCAUUCAACUAAUGAUGUGAUCUCGUUAAUCAAAUAACAACUCUUUGUUCAUGGUUAGGAAACAUAACCAUCUUUGAUUAACGAGCUAGUCAAGUAGAGGCAUACUAGUGACACUUUGUUUGUCUAUGCAUUCACACAUGUAUUAUGUUUCCGGUUAAUACUAUUAUAGCAUGAAUAAUAAACAUUUAUCAUGACAUAAGGAAAUAAAUAAUAACUUUGUUAUUGCCUCUAGGGCAUAUUUCCUUCACUUAGGGCCUUGGAUGAGAACUGGCAUCAUAAUGAACUUCCGCUUCAUGCACAUCCAAGGAGGAAGGUUAUACAUACAUAGAGUCACGGGCCAGGUGCUGUGAUUGCUGCUCUGCUCCCCUAUAGGAUUAAUGCCAUCCAUGCUUAAAGCAAACCAUACAUUCCAUGGGUCGUUUGCAAACUCAUCCCAGUACUUUCUCUCGAUUUUUCUCCACUGCGACCCGUCAGCGGGUGCUCUCAAUUUUCCGUCUUUCUUCCGGUCCUCACUGUGCCAUCGCAUCAACUUGGCAUGCUCUUCGUUUUUGAAUAGACGUUUCAACCGUGGUAUUAUAGGAGCAUACCACAUCACCUUCGCAGGAACCCUCUUCUUGGGGGGCUCACCGUCAACGUCACCAGGGUCAUCUCGUCUGAUCUUAUACCGCAAUGCACCGCAUACCGGGCAUGCAUUCAGAUCCUUGUAUGCACCGCGGUAGAGGAUGCAGUCAUUAGGGCAUGCAUGUAUCUUCUCCACCUCCAAUCCUAGAGGGCAUACGACUUUCUUUGCUGCGUAUGUACUGUCGGGCAAUUCGUUAUCCUUUGGAAGAUUCUUCUUCAAUAUUUUCAGUAGCUUCUCAAAUCCUUUGUCAGCCACAGCAUUCUCUGCCUUCCACUGCAGCAAUUCCAGUACGGUACCGAGCUUUGUGUUGCCAUCUUCGCAAUUGGGCUACAACCCUUUUUUGUGAUCCUCUAACAUGCGAUCGAACUUCAGCUUCUCCUUUUGACUUUCGCAUUGCGUCCUUGCAUCGACAAUGACCCGGCGGAGAUCAUCAUCAUCGGGCAGAUCGUCUGGUUCCUCUUGAUCUUCAGCAGCUUCACCCGUUGCAGCAUCAUUGGGCACAUCGUCUGUUUCCUCUUGAUCUUCACCAGCUCCCUCCAUUGCAGCAUAACCGUAUUCAGGGGGCACAUAGUUGUCAUCGUACUCUUCUUCUUUGCCAUCUUCCAUCAUAACACCUAUUUCUCCGUGCCUCGUCCAAACAUUAUAGUGUGGCAUGAAACCCUUGUAAAGAAGGAGGGGGUGAAGGAUUUUCCGGUUAGAGUAAUACCUCGUAUUCCCACAUUCAGUGCAUGGACAACACAUAAAACCAUUCUGCUUCUUUGCCUCAGCCGCACCGAGAAACUCAUGCACGCCCUUAAUGUACCCGGAGGUGUGUCUGUCACCGUACAUCCAUUGCCAGUUCAUCUACGUGCAUUAUAUAUAAUUAAGUGUCCAAAUUAAUAGAAGUUCAUCAUCACAUUAAAACCAAAGUACAUACAUAGUUCUCAUCUAACAACAUAUAGCUCUCCAGAGCAUCUAAUUAAUUAAACCAUACAUUGAAACUAUGUAAAACAUUUCAAUGCGAAAACAAAUGCGAUCAUAAUUGCAACCAAGGUAACAAUUGAUCCAACGGCAUAAUGAUACCAAGCCUCGGUAUGAACGACAUAUUUUCUAAUCUUUCUAAUCUUCAAGCGCAUUGCAUCCAUCUUGAUCCUGUGAUCAUAGACGACAUCCGCAACAUGCAACUCCAAUAUCAUCUUCUCCUCCUCAAUUUUUUUAUUUUUUCCUCCAACAAAUAGUUUUCUUCUUCAACUAAAUUUAGCCUCUCGGCAAUAGGGUCGGUUGGCAUUUCCGAUUCACAUACAUCCUACAUAAAUAAAAUCUAUGUCACGUUGAUCGGCAUAAUUUUCAUAAACAAUAAAUGAACCAAUAGUUAUAAAGAUAAUAUAUAUACCACAUUCGAAUCAUAGACAGGACGAGGGCGACGGGGGCGGAUACCAAAACCAUCGCACUAUAUAAGAUGCAAUAAUAAAAGUAAGAAAAUAAUACAAGUAUCUAUGUAAACAUACAAGUAAGAAUAUUUUUCCUUUCAGAAAGAAGAUAAGAACAAGAGGCUCACCAUGGUGGUGCCGGCAAGGCCCACCUUGGUCCAUGCGGGGAUGCACAAAAUAAGCUAUGUGCGGCCCAUGCGGGGAAUUUUGGUUACGCAUGGCCCAUACAUAUGGUGAUCCAGCCGUACGUGACCAAAUAGGAUGGACGGACAAACGAAAACGGACAAAAAUUAGGGACCAACCAAUUAGUACCACCUCGCGUAUAUGUUUUAUAUUUAAACUGAAAGCGUAAAUUUUCAUGAAAAGAAAUGUACUGUGACGGUGAACCCGACAAAGUCAAUCCGUGCUUUAUUAUUAGGGAAAGAUAUACUAAUUGGAGGCACCUUUGGAGCGUCUACGUUAAUCCACGUCAUUAAGAUUAAUAUAGCCGUUUGAUAUUAAAUUUAAUGGUUAAGAUAUGCUAGAAGACUAUGCCUUAUUAUAGAAGAAAACAACAUGUACGUAGGGAUGAAAUCCACGCAUACAAAAAAAAACUCAUGUAAAGAAAAAUCAAUUCUCACCACAUAGAUGAAACUCAUUAAACUUGCACAUGCAAAAAAAGUCCUAAGCUCCCACGUCCAUGAAAGAUUAGACAUGCACAUAAAAAAAGAGUCCUAAAUGCCCACGCCCAGGUUCCAAGAAAAAGUACGUGCCUACUCCUUGCAAAAAGAGGACGCGUGGCAAAACUAAAAAAUAUGAAUAUAAUCAUCUCAAUCUCUUUCUAAUAAUAAAAUAUGAAUUGAUUUUGUCAGGUUCGUCGUCACAAUACACUUUUUCCUGUAAAUUUACGCUUUCACUUUGAAUUUAAAACAUAUAGGUGAGGUGGUACUAAAAAACUGUUCAUUGGUCGCGUACGUCAAUUAGUAUAAGUCGCUUUUUUUAGUCCCUCCGGCUCGCUAGACUGGGCCGUGUUGAUCAUUCCCGUGAUGACUGAACUGGGCCUGGUCAAAAAGAAAAAAAACGAUGCAAAAAAUAAUUCCCCAUGAGCUUCGAACCAAGACGAAGGCCCUCAGUCACAAAGGAGAACGCCAACUAGAUUGCUCUAUUUUGUUCUGCCAAAUUGUGUCCCUGUAGAUAUAAUAGUCCCACAUCGCUUCUUUGCACUGUAUCUUAUCGAUUUUUAUACAUCGGCGGACUUGUCCUAGCAGAAGUUAAUUGGAAGAGGAAGCAAGGAAUAAAGAACGAACGCAGGAGGAAUUUGGCCAGAAGAAACAAGGUCGGGGAGCGUGAGGUUUAUGGUGAAUAUUCAGAGAACGGCAGCUGCAUUGUUCGAAUUUAGUCUAUCUUUGGACAUGUCUUUUCCGGGGAUUCGACACCAUGUUUUGUGCGCGAAUGGUUUUAUUAGGGUUUUUGACUGUUCCAAGUUAGAAGAGGCCAGAGUUUUCUCUGGUUCUUCAGUGGCCUGAAGCAACCAUGCUUACGCUUUUUUUUUUCAACCAUUCAUUGCCCAUUUUCAUUAAUUUCUUAAAGAAAAUACAUCAACCGUCCUUGCAGAAAGAACGAGGCAGCUUCACAGCUGGAAAUCAAGAGUGCGGUGUCCAGUUUUACGGGGAAAAGAAUUCUAUGAGACCAGGUCUCACGCGAGACCCAUCCUAAUGAAUGCCACGUGCUAUCCAUCAGAACGGGUCUCACCUGCUAACCGUGAGACUUGGUCUCAUAUAUUUUUUUUCCGUUUUACGGGGAAGCAUCAUCAGAAAUCUAGCAAAUCAUUCGCAUUAUUCUCUCACAUACAGUACAGAUCCUUCGGAUCGCCACAUCACAGCUGGACUUCAUUGCUUUGGGUGUCUAAUUAAGGGCUUGUUCGGUUAAUCCUCUCGCGAAGAGGAUUGGAGGGGAUUGGCAAGGAUUGGUUCGUAUUUUGACUUCUAAGAGGUUUAAGUCCUCCUCAAACCCCUUCAAUCCAUUCGGAUUCACACGCAACCAAACAAGGCCUAAACGGGAUCCGCAUCUGAACUAUUAAGCAGCAAAUGAUAGUGUGCGUGAAACAGGUAGGCAAUGUCAAUGAGGACAAACUGUGAUGAUAUCGUUUGAAAACUCAGCUGUCGUCCGUAGUGUUUGGCAUGUGACAGAUAGAUCCUGUUGAUUGUCUAACGAAAGCCAACGGUGAUGUCAAACUAGACUAUUUUAACAUAGUCGGUAAGACAAAAAUGGGAAACAUAUGUAUAUAUGACUACCGAGAACACGACAUCCAUUGUAUCUCGAUUAAGCAUCUUCAAAUAUUAUUCCUGUCGUGAUAUUGACAACAUUAUUAGUUUGUACUUGAAUGAAUAGUCAAGGAACUUUUGAGUGUUCCAAGUUAAACAUCCAAAUUUGUGUCGCAUUUCAGUAUGGGAGGCGCGUAUGACUCUCAAGUUUUUCCGAAUUUGAGUAAUACGGGUCAACUAUUUGCAAAAAUAAAAUAAAAACAUGUUAUCUAGCAUAUGUUUUUACCGUGUUAACACAUUCACAAUUAUUCCAUUUUGAAAAAAGGUACCUAGGUGGUAAAUGAACUACAAACCUUGCUCGACAUAUAUCGAGAAAUAUGUAUUGACAUACACAACAGAGAAAAUAAAUCAAAAUACAUUGCGCAGAACAUUGACAAUAAAUUAGUUGGUGAAAUUAGACAAUUUAGUUGGUGAACUUAGAAAAUUGUUACAUAAGGCUCCAACUUAAUUUCUCAGCAGUUGGAUCAGUUUUUUUUUUUGAGGACCAUGGAAAUACUGAAACCAUGGUUGAUACAAACUCCCCUCUCACACCUAAACUUUGAGCUAGAUAUUUCCUUUUAGUGAGUUUAGCUACUAAUUUUAAAGGGGUUCGCUAAAUCUCAGUCAAUUGAGAUUUAAUGUAGUCUCAAUCACCUUUCCAAGCCGUUGAAUACAUGCACACUAAGAUUAUGUGCUAGGAAACUUUUCUUUGUUAUUGUGAGGUGGAACGGAAAGAGAUGUGUGUGUGCCUUUCUGGACUAUUCGAAGUGUGCGUGUUUUUCCGAGGAAAGAGCCUACAAUCUACACGAGAAGCUUGUGUUUGGGCCAAGUCCAAACAUAAUAUAAUUUGUCAAACCAAACAACCAACAUUUUCUAAAACCGAAAUCAACAUAGCAAAAACAUGUUUGCUUUCGAAUAUUAAUAAAUAACUGUAUAUAAAUAAUCCCACUUCAAUGCACCACUCCUCUCACACCCGGUGAUAGUGUGAUGUUCGUUGAGGCAACAUCGAAGGACAUGAAUGUAGUUUCAUUAAUCUUUUUCCGAAUUGUGUACACCAAAAAUUGUAUCAUCAUUAACGACGGUGGCAAAAAUGAAAAGUGGCAACAUGAACGAGUCACUGAAAACAUGCGAAGACUUUCUCCUUCCGGUGCAAUGCACGACACAUUAAAUGAUGCAUACAAAGGUUAAAGGGAACCUUCUUUUGAGAAACAAAGACAAACACAGACUCACAAACACGUACAUACAUGAACACCUAGAGAGACUGAGCUGACAAGUCUUGAGAUUGAUGAACACACCACAAGUGUCUCGCUUCGACGCGAACGUCACCAUGCACUGAAAAAAUAUUUCACCUUUGUGAAACAUGAAAUUAAGCGUCAAAGUUAGGUUUUAAUUCUUGCUCUAUUGGGUAUCACCGCCCUGCAAACCAUCCAAUCAGAGAUUGGUUCUCAGGGUUAAAGCGAAACUAACCAAUACAUUUAUUUGAUAUGAAAAAAUGAACCCUUCCAAACCAAGCAAACAACUAUCUCUAAGAAAUCCAACAUAGCAACAAUGCUUUGUAUUCAAAUGUUUUGGAAAUUCUAAAAAAAAACUUUUGGAUUAGUUUUUAAACUCUCGGUUAGUAUAGAACAUUCCAAUGUUUGUAUGUUGCACUAAAAAUAAAUGCACCACUCUUUCACCCGGUGGUAGUGCUAAGCUAAAGGAGUGCCAUCAAAGGACACCACUAUGACUAUCUUAACUCUACUCCAUGAUGCGGACACCAAUAAUCAUUUUUAUUUACCAACACGAAGGCGUUUUUUUAAGAUAGUGAGUGUUUCUAAAUGUUCUUGGUUUCAAAAAAUAUAUUCAUGUUUUAAAUAUGUUUAAACUUUUGAAGAAAUGCUGAAAAUUCCUAAAAAAUGGUUCCAAUUAAAAACCAGCUAUAAUUGUUCAAAAAAUCAUUAAAAAAAAUCAUGAAAUCGCUUGUUUAUAUAAUGUUCGACUUCAAAAAAUAUUCCAAUUCUAGUAAGAAAUUAAAAAAUAGUCGAUUUCUUAAAAAAUAAAGAAAUAUUUGUGUUGUCUUUCAAAAAGCAAAAUAUAUACCGAUUCACAUACUAUUCCAUGCACAACUAUUCUUCCAACAGAUGUGGGAAGUUAGGUUGGUUCUUCAUGUACACACUUCAAGCUCCGAACAAAAAUUAGAGUUUAACAUUAUUACUCUGGUUUAUCAGCCUUUGAUACAAGAAAUGGCACAUGAAGCGCACUUUUAUUUGCCCGUUGCAACGCACGGGCAUUUGUACUAGUAAAUAUCAAUUGAAGGAAUAUCAUUCUGCAAAGGCAGAUUCUUGAAUAGGAUUGUUUCACAACUGCAUCCAUCAAUUUUAAAGUUUACUAUCUAAUAUGAUGCUAGAUAGAUAAAGCCUCAAUUAAGUAUAACAUUGUGUUUGUUGGUUAAGUUAGGAGCACUUACUAAUGUACUAAAAGAGAAAUAUAUAUUAUAUAUGGUUUGAGUACCAUUGUAGUAGUGGUGCAUAUACAUACGCGCACCACCUACUAUAUAUCGAAAUAAUUCAUACUCGCUUUCUCCCUUAUAUAUAUAGUAGGUGGUGUCAAAUUCUUGCUAAUUUGACAUGAAGGCUUCAUUCAGACCAGUGAUGAUACUUUGCGCAACAUAAAUGGGAAAGUAGAGGCACUCUUCCAUAUAAUGAAGUUUAUAAUAUAUGUGUUUAUAUUGUACUAUAAUUGUUUGAAUAACUUACCAUAUGUUCAGAUGUAUGAUAUCUGUAAUUUAAGCGCUUGAAUUUUACAUAUAAAUAUAAUUUUAUUAAUAAAUAUGUACCCAUAUAAUAGCUAGGCCGUGUAGUUGCACGGGUAGAUGACUAGUGAUUACAAUCUUGUUUGUGAGCAAGUCAAGAUUAUCUAGUUUACACGUAACAACUUGUAGAACAUUACAAAAAUUAUGCUUGCUAAUAACUUCUAGAACACUACAACACUUGACAUGUAAAAGGAAUUUGAUGAGUCAUGGCCUACUAAAGCAAGUUACAUUACUACUCUUAUCUAUCUUAACAGACCACACAAGAUUACAAACUAAGUACCGUGACAGCCAUGCUUAUCUAAUUUAUGCGUAACAAUUUGCGGAAAAUUACAAAUUUAGUUUUAGAAAAAUAGGCAAUCUAGAUUAGUGUUUGAGCUGUAAUGUGAAUAAGAUGAGUCGUGCGUCUUGUCACACCUUUUUGGUGGUGGAAUGAUAGUGCAACAACAAGGAACUUUAAUGACCAGUCCAAGAAUACACUUGUAAGUAGUGCCACCAAACAGAACAUACCAAAUUAUGAUUUUGAGAAGAAUCCAAGCACUUUCCACACAAGCAAAUGCCAAUUGUGAAAGAGAUCAUUCCAUGGCAGCUAUAAAUAGCCCCAUAGCAUGACGCUCAUCCUUCCUCAUCCAUCAUUCUCAUAAGUAGAGUGCAUCAUUUAAGCCAAGCAAGCUGUGGUCAAUACAAAUCCACCAUGAAGACCUUUCUCAUCCUUUCCCUCCUUGCUAUCGUGGCAACCACCGCCACAACUGCAUUUAGAAUUCUAGUGCCACAAUUGCAGCCACAAAAUCCAUCUUAGCAACAACCACAAGAGCAAGUUCCAUUGGUACAACAACAGCAAUUUCUAGGGCAGCAACAACCAUUUCCACCACAACAACCAUAUCCACAGCCGCAACCAUUUCCAUCACAACAACCAUAUCUGCAGCUGCAACCAUUUCCGCAGCCGCAACCACCAUAUUCGCAGCCGCAACCAUUUCGACCACAAUAACCAUAUCUCCACAACCGCAACCACAGUAUUCGCAACCACAAUAACCAAUUUCGCAGCAGCAACAACAACAACAACAACAACAACAACAACAAAUCCUUCAACAAAUUUUGCAACAACAACUGAUUCCAUGCAUGGAUGUUGUAUUGCAGCAACACAACAUAGCGCAUGGAAGAUCACAAGUUUUGCAACAAAGUAGUUACCAGCUGUUGCAAGAAUUGUGUUUUCAGCACCUAUGACAGAUCCCUGAGCAGUCGCAGUGCCAAGCCAUCCACAAUGUUGUCCAUGCUAUUAUUCUGCAUCAACAACAAAAACAACAACAACAACAACAACAAAAACAACAACCAUCGAGCCAGGUCUCCUUCCAACAGCCCCAGCAACAAUAUCCAUCAGGCCAGGGCUCCUUCCGGCCAUCUCUGCAAAAUCCACAGGCCCAGGGCUCGGUCCAGCCUCAACAGCUGCCCAGUUCGAGGAAAUAAGGAACCUAGCGCUACAGACGCUACCUGCAAUGUGCAAUCUCUACAUCCCUCCAUAUUGCACCAUCGCGCCAUUUGGCAUCUUCGGUACUAACUGAGAAGAAAAUAACUCUAGUACUAGAUAUAUGAAACACCGUUUUCUUAGUCCAUGGUUUGGUCAUUGUAGCGGUGAAAAAAUAAAGUGACAUGCACUACCAUGUAAGAACUCGAACUAUACUAGUUCAAACUUGGGAAUAAAAGACAAACACAGGUCUUGUCUACAUAUUUAUGUUGCAUUUAUCUAAAGAUAACAAAAUGAGUCUAAAAUUUGAAUUAAAUUGAAGUAUUUUCUUGGACUUUCAAAUUGAGUAUUAUUAACGUAGUAAGGACUAUCCUCAUCCUUGGCCUGCCCCUAAUCAAUUAUUUCCAGAGAAGCAUUCAAUUCAUCAAUCAAUUACAUUGAUUUUUGUGGCUGGUACUUCUCCUCAACAUCAGUAUAUUCACCGUGGCUACUCCAAAUCGGCAAGAAUGAGGUACCGGUGCUCUGGAGCAGUGCCAACUAAUUGCUUCUCAUGUGAAGGGGUGCGGGCGCGGGAGAGGUAUUUCUGGUGGGCCAAGGGAGUAAGAAGCCACCGUGGGAGUGGUACAGACGCCCGUAAAGCCCCAUAGUUUCUUUUUGGUUUACAGGAAAAUGCACAUCCAUACCGGCCUGGGGAGUAUAGGACCGUAUUGGAUGGAAAACCAUGUCCGGAUGGUUGCGAGCGGUUUGAGGGUUAGCUUUUGUAACGCCCGGUUAGUUAUGCUAUAGCAAUUCCCUGCUAAUGAUGUCACGUCACCAAGAUUACUGUUGUUAUCCUCACAAUGAUUCAAUGCCAUUCUAAUUCAAAUUUAAAAUAAAGGCAAGCAUCAAAAGUUUUCAAACAUUAAAACUAAAAUCUUUGAGAGGUAACAAAUAAUGCAUAAGUAAUUAUGGUGGAGAAACCACACUUUAAUAAAAUGUUUAAAUACUCUAAAAUGAAAAAAACAGUGGCUUAAACUAUUAUUUAAAUGCUUUUAAAAUAGUAAAAAUGUUCUAACUAAAUUAAUUGGGUACCAACCUUUUGGUGGCAGUGGUAUAUUUAGUAGAACUAAUUUAGAUGCUAGUUAUAUGAUUUAGAAAAUUAGGGUCAAUUGAAAAAUAGGAUAAAACAGAGAAGGAAAGACAAAACAAAUAAAAGCAAAAGGGGGCAACCCCUCACUGGCCUUGGCCUAGCUGGCCACUGGGCUAGCUAGGUCGGCCCCGCCGCCUCCCUUAACCCCCUGUCGGUGUCGAAACCGGUGGAUGGUACCAUGAGUAGAUCUACCACGAGAUCGGAGAGGCUAAACCCUAGAGGCUAGCCUAUGAUAUGAUUGUAUGUGUCCUACGGACUAAAACCCUCCGGUUUAUAUAGACACCGGAGAGGGUUAGGGUUACACAAGGUCGGUUACAAAGGAGGAGAUAUCCAUAUCCGUAUUGCCUAGCUUGCCUGCCACGCCAAGUAGAGUCCCAUCCGGACACGGGACGAAGUCUUCAAUCUUGUAUCUUCAUAGUGCAACAGUCCGAAAAAGGAUAUAGUCCGGCUGUCCGGAGACCCCCUAAUCCAGGACUCCCUCAGUAGCCCCUGAACCAGGCUUCAAUGACGAUGAGUCUGGCGCGCAGUAUUGUCUUCGACAUUGCAAGGCGGGUUCCUCCUCCGAAUGCAUCACAGAAGAAUUUGAAUACGAGGAUAGUGUCCGACCCUGCAACAUAAGUUCCACAUAAUUCCAUACAGAGAAUAAUAUUUUCGCAAAUCUAAUUUGCUUACUUGUUUUGACAGUACGACAUUAUGUCAUGGCCCGGUGAUUAUUCGAACCGUUUCCUUUAACUAGCCCCGCACAUAACGCGAGGCAGUUUUUCGACAUGUCUUGUCAAAGCAGAGAUCGUGUCCCCUUAUUACUGGAUUCUCAUCAAUACGGGCGUGGGUAACCCAACCGCGCCAUCGAUUGCGGCACUUGGGGGAUGAGCUAUUUUUACCUGGCAAGUGGGGACGCUUAGUUUCGUCCGCCCAUAUAAAGGGAUAAGGAUUCACCUUUCUAUCCAUGCCUUCUUCCUCCUUUGCUCAUCCGUUUUUGCACACUCGAGCUCUAGCGCCCAAGUUCGCACUUCCCACCUCAACCUUCUCCAACCAUGUCCCGAGCGGGAGGCAGGUGGAUGGUAUCCUCCGUCACGGAUGGAGACAUCAAGAAGCUGAGGAGCGCCGGAUACCUGCCUGACGACAUCGCGCACCGGCUCCCAGAUGAGGGGCAGCUCACCCCCACCCCCAGGCCCCAUGAGAGGGUAGUGUUCCUCACCCAUUUCCUCCGCGGACUGGGAUUCCCUCUCCACCCAUUUGUCCCGGGGCUCAUGUUCUAUUACGACCUGGAUUUCCAUGAUCUGGCCCCGAACUUCAUCCUCAACAUCUCGGCGUUUAUCGUUGUGUGCGUGGCCUUCCUCCGCAUCAAGCCCCACUUCGGCUUAUGGUUGAAGACCUUUAAUGUCAAGCCGAAGGUUGUGGGCGACCGCCAGGCGGAGUGCGGAGGCGCCAUGGUGGGCAAGAUGCCCAACGUAACAUGGCUCGAGGGCUCUUUUGUGGAAACCAUAAAGGGGUGGCAAUCGGGUGGUUCUACAUCACCGAGCCGCGUGACCCUGCAUGGGCAGCGGCCCCCCGAGUUCUGAUCUGGCAUCCCCACGCGGCUCACCUCCUGGAAAGAGAAGGGCCUGUCCUGGGGUAGUUUGGAAGAGCUGACCAGACUCCAAACAUGUAUUCAAAACAUGGUGAACAAGAAGCUCAAACUCGUCAACGUGGUCCAGGUCAUGCUCCACCGCCGGAUCCUCCCGUGCCAAUAACGGGAGUUCAACUUGUGGGAGUACAACCCAGCGCAGCACCGAACUCUGAACAGGCUUUUCGACACAACUCACGAAGAUGCCUCGAGGGUGCUGUUCAAAAUCACCAAGGUCCCCCUCCCAUUACUGAGGAUCACGGAUUCAGCGUGAAGCGCCAAGCCAGUGCGGCAGGCUGCUUUACCUUUCACAGGCUACUUAUUUUUUAUAGAUUGACUCCAUGCGGGAUCUAAACUCCCGUACCUUUGACAGGACUGGCAGGAGAUGGCCGGACAGAUCGACUGUCCGGCUCCUAUGCCCGAAGGCCCAGCAGACGCUCUUCUAGCGAAGAUGCUGACUUCGGCUCCUUAUACGGUGCCGGAGAAGACCAAGAAGGACAAGGGAACCCGAAAGAGUUCCCGACGCCAGGCGUCGUCGGACUCACCGUCCGAUGACUCUGCGGCGCACUCCUCCCCCGAAGACGAGGAAGAGGAAGAAGACGCUCCCUCUCUGGCUGGGGGAGAUAAGAAAAGGAAGGCCGCCCCAACUGGGGGGGCGGAAGGGUCCAAGAAGGGAAGGAAUCUCCUUCCGGAUAGUUGCACCGCUGCCGACGAAGGCGAAGACGAGGGGUUGCCCAGGGCCAAGCCCCUGGGGAGAUCGUAAGUAUUCAGAUACCAGAGUAACUCAUAGCAUUCCUUUGUCGCACUGCUUUCCCUAACGUCAAACAUAAUUAUGCAGGUCGCCAUGAGCCAGUAUCGAUGUGUGACGCCCGGAUAAUCAUGCUACAGUAAUCCCACGCUAAUCAUGCCACGUCACCUCGGUUACUGUUGCUAAUCUAUCGUUAGGUCAAAGCUGGUCCAAAAUUCAAAUUCAAAGUUUGGUAAAUAAUAACAGUUUUCAAAAAUUAAAACAAAAAUGUUCGGUGAUUGCCGAAUAAUGCAUAGGUAAUUAUGGUGGAGAAACCACACUUUUAUAAAAUGUUUAAAUAAUCUAAAAUGAAUAAAACAGUAGAAAAACCAAAUCUAAAUGCUUUUAUAAAUAAAUAAAACACUAAACUAAAUUGUUUUGGGAUAAAGCCUUUUGUGGCAGUGGGUUUCGUGGUAUUACAAUUUUAGAGUUCAUUUUAAUACUAAGUAAGAAGUAUAAUUAAGAGAAACUAAAAUAAAGAACAGAAAAAAAAGAAUAAAUAAAAGGAAAAGAAAACACAAAACAGAAAAGAAAACUACCAAAAAAAUAUGGUAAAAGGAGACCCCCCCCACUGGACCCCUUGGCCCAACUGGGCCAUGGCCCAGCCGGCCACCCCCNNNNNNNNNNNNNNNNNNNNNNNNNNNNNNNNNNNNNNNNNNNNNNNNNNNNNNNNNNNNNNNNNNNNNNNNNNNNNNNNNNNNNNNNNNNNNNNNNNNNNNNNNNNNNNNNNNNNNNNNNNNNNNNNNNNNNNNNNNNNNNNNNNNNNNNNNNNNNNNNNNNNNNNNNNNNNNNNNNNNNNNNNNNNNNNNNNNNNNNNNNNNNNNNNNNNNNNNNNNNNNNNNNNNNNNNNNNNNNNNNNNNNNNNNNNNNNNNNNNNNNNNNNNNNNNNNNNNNNNNNNNNNNNNNNNNNNNNNNNNNNNNNNNNNNNNNNNNNNNNNNNNNNNNNNNNNNNNNNNNNNNNNNNNNNNNNNNNNNNNNNNNNNNNNNNNNNNNNNNNNNNNNNNNNNNNNNNNNNNNNNNNNNNNNNNNNNNNNNNNNNNNNNNNNNNNNNNNNNNNNNNNNNNNNNNNNNNNNNNNNNNNNNNNNNNNNNNNNNNNNNNNNNNNNNNNNNNNNNNNNNNNNNNNNNNNNNNNNNNNNNNNNNNNNNNNNNNNNNNNNNNNNNNNNNNNNNNNNNNNNNNNNNNNNNNNNNNNNNNNNNNNNNNNNNNNNNNNNNNNNNNNNNNNNNNNNNNNNNNNNNNNNNNNNNNNNNNNNNNNNNNNNNNNNNNNNNNNNNNNNNNNNNNNNNNNNNNNNNNNNNNNNNNNNNNNNNNNNNNNNNNNNNNNNNNNNNNNNNNNNNNNNNNNNNNNNNNNNNNNNNNNNNNNNNNNNNNNNNNNNNNNNNNNNNNNNNNNNNNNNNNNNNNNNNNNNNNNNNNNNNNNNNNNNNNNNNNNNNNNNNNNNNNNNNNNNNNNNNNNNNNNNNNNNNNNNNNNNNNNNNNNNNNNNNNNNNNNNNNNNNNNNNNNNNNNNNNNNNNNNNNNNNNNNNNNNNNNNNNNNNNNNNNNNNNNNNNNNNNNNNNNNNNNNNNNNNNNNNNNNNNNNNNNNNNNNGCCCCUCGGCGCCCGCUCGGCCCUCUCCUGGGUCGGGCGCCCGUAACGCCCAGCGCCCGUAACCCGCUAUGGCCCCCUGGGCAGUUGACAGAUGGGGCCCACGCCCCUGUCUUGUUAGAAAAAAAAACGAAAAGAAAAUGUAAUUAAAAAAAUGAAAAUAAGUAAUUAGUUAUUUAAUUAAUUAUGUAACUAAUUAAUUAAUUAAAUAAGUAAUUACUUAACUUAAUUAACUCCGUUUAGUACUUAAUUAACUUGAUUAGUUAAUUAAAAUUGUUAAUUAGUUGUUAGACUAUGACGAAUGGGACCCACACGUCAGUUUGACCCAGUCAACGCCCUGUUGACUGCUGACGUCAUGCUGACGUCAGCGUACACUAUUCUGGAUAAUGUUAAUUUAAUUAAUAAUUAAUAAAUUAGAAAAUGAUUUAAAAAUUUAAAAAUUAAUAUAAAUUAAACCGUAGCUCAGAUGAAAAAACUUUGUACAUGAAAGUUGCUCAGAACGACGAGACAAAUCUGGAUACACGGCCUGUUUGUUCGUCACGCAUCCCUAGCAUAGCAAACUCGCAACUUUCCCCUCCGGCUCCUCUGCCCGAAAACGCAAAACACCGGGGAUACUUUCCCGGAUGUCAUCCCCCUUCACCGGUAUCACCUAUUACCGCGUUAGGGCACCUCUAACGCCGUUACUUGUCAUGUCAUGCAUCACUAUGCAUAUGCUUGCUUAAAUAUUUAUUAUUUCUUCCCCCUCUUCUCUCGAUAGACACCGAGACCGACGCCGCUGCUACCCAGUACGACUACGCUGUUGACGACCCUCUUUCUUGCCAGAGCAACCAGGCAAGCGCCCCCCUUGAUCACCAGAUAUCGCCUACUCUCUUCUAUACUGCUUGCAUUAGAGUAGUGUAGCAUGUUACUGCUUUCCGUUAUUCCUAUCCUGAUGCAUAGCCUGUCCUUGCUACUACUGUUGUUACCAUUACCUGCUAUCCUACUGCUUAGUAUAGGAUGCUAGUGUUCCAUCAGUGGCCCUACACUCUUGUCCGUCUGCCAUGCUAUACUACUGGGCCGUGAUCACUUCGGGAGGUGAUCAUGGGCAUAUGCUAUAUACUUUACACAGUUACUUUACCUGUGGUACUGUUCGGAGAUGGGGGCUGAAGGGGCAGGUGGUUCCACCCAGGUAGUGGUGGGCCUGGGUUCCCGACGGCCCCCGACUGUUACUUUGUGGCGGAGCGACAGGGCAGGUUCAGACCACCUAGGAGAGAGGUGGGCCUGGCCCUGGUCGGCGUCCGCGGAUACUUAACACACUUAACGAGAUCUGGGUAUUUGAUCUGAGUCUGGCCAUUUGGUCUAUACGCACUAACCAUCUACGCGGGAGUAGUUAUGGGUAUCCCGACGUCGUGGUAUCAGCCGAAGCCUUCGUGACAUCAGCGACUAAGUGGCGCGUGCCGGAUUGGACCGUAAGCCUGCUCUUGUAUUAAGGGGGCUAGUUCUGCUUCCGGCCGCGUUCGCAACGUGCAGGUGUGCAAAGGGCGAUGGGCCCAGACCCCUGCGCCAUAGGAUUUAGACCAGCGUGCUGACCUCUCUGUUGGGCCUAGGUAGGGCUGCGACGUGUUGAUCUUCCGAGGCCGGGCAUGACCCAGAAAAGUGUGUCCGGCCAAAUGGGAUCGAGCGUGUUGGGGUAUGUGGUGCACCCCUGCAGGGAAGUUUAUCUAUUCGAAUAGCCGUGUCCCUCGGUAAAAGGACGACCCGGAGUUGUACUUUGACCUUAUGAUAACUAGAACCGGAUACUUAAUAAAACACACCCUUCCAAGUGCCAGAUACAACCGGUGAUCGCUCUCUCACAGGGCGACGAGGGGAGGAUCAUCGGUUAGGAUUAUGCUAUGCGAUGCUACUUGGAGGACUUCAGUCUACUCUCUUCUACAUGCUGCAAGACGGAGGUUACCAGAAGCGUAGUCUUCGAAAGGACUAGCUAUCCCCCUCUUAUUCCGGCAUUCUGCAGUUCAGUCCACAUAUGAUAGCCUUAUUCCAAUUGAUACCAAUGCAUACAUAUGUAGUGUAGCUCCUUGCUUGCGAGUACUUUGGAUGAGUACUCACGGUUGCUUUCUCCCUCUUUCCCCCCUAUCCCUUCUACCUGGUUGUCGCGACCAGAUGUUGGAGCUCAGGAGCCAGACGCCACCGUUGACGACGACUCCUACUACACCGGUGGUGCCUACUACUACGUGCUGUCCGCUGACGACGACCAGGAGUAGUUUAGGAGGAUCCCAGGCAAGAGGCCUGCGCCUCUUUCGAUCUAUAGCUCAGUUUGUGCUAGCCUUCUUAAGGCAAACUUGUUUAACUUAUGUCUGUACUCAGAUAUUGUUGCUUCCGCUGACUCGUCUAUGAUCGAGCUCUUGUAUUCGAGCCCUCGAGGUCCCUGGCUUGUAAUAUGAUGCUUGUAUGACUUAUUUUAUUUGUAGAGUUGUGUUGUGAUAUCUUUCUGUGAGUCCCUGAUCUUGAUCGUACACGUUUGCGUGUAUGAUUAGUGUACGGUCAAAUCGGGGGCGUCACACGAUGUAUCAUCGGACGGUUCCCUAGGCUCGUCGGACAUGGAUAGCGAUCCAGUCCCGACCCCCACCUCCCCUCAUCCUGCUGACGACGCCGAGGUGCUGUCUCAAGAGGCAUCGGGUCGAGGGGAGACAGUCCUGGAGGCACCUCAAGGCGACCUUCCGGACUCCGGGAGCCGAGGGGACGGGGCCCCUAAGAGCUUCGAGUUCGGCCCUCAGCCGAACACCGCGCUGGAACCUCCAGUGGUUCCGGGCUCGGUCAGGCGGCCUCCUUCUAAGAGGGGCAAGACACCUGUGCCGGUGACCUCUGUCUAUCCAGAGGCGCCGGACAAUCUGCUGGAAGCGCUUCGCAGCGCUUCCAUCGACGAGGAGCACCGCACUAUCAUGAGUGCGGCGAUCCAGAAAGUUUAGUCCGCCAAGAGCGGAUUGACUGAAGCCUGUGCCAGCCUUCUAACAGGCUUUGAGGUAAGUGUUUUAAAAUAUAGGAAAAAUACUACUGCAUAUAUAGUAGCCCCUGAUGCUUUGUUCGGUGUUCAGAAAGAAAAGCCGAACAGAGGAUCAAAUAAUAUCGCAGGACUCUAAUAUAAGUAUGUCAAUAUGCGUAUGCAAGCCUCACUGCUGGCAUCCGCCACACUGACUGCGGAGGUCGCCCUACUGAAGCAGGACCUCGAGAGGUCUAGGAGAGAGCUCGGCCUUGUCAAGAGGCAGCUCGAGGAGAACAAGGGUAAGUAAUACCUUGUCUUUAGAUAUGUAUAUAUAAAAGAAGAAGCGAUUGCAAAAUGACAGGAUCAUCGUACAUUCGCCAGGGGCCACGACCAAGGUGGCAACCCUCAAGCAAGCGCUAACCAAGGCCGAAGAUAACGCGGCCAAGGAGCGCACCGAGUGAGAGAAGCACGAGGCUCGGGUGGGCGAGGUGCAGCAAGAGCUCUAGGCUAUCAUGGUGAAGCACGAGGCAUUGGAGCUUGACUAAAAGACGCGAGAGUCUGAGCUUUCCGCGGCCCUCGAGAGCGCAAAAAGUGCCAAGGCCGAAGCCCAAAGGGGUCUCCAGGCGGGUAUGGCUUUCUAUAUGCAAAGCAAGCAUGUAAAAGUAAAUUACCGAUUACUUACUCGAAUCCGGAGCUCUCCAGGAGCAUUCGCAGAUUUUCCACGCAGCGUGUCCGAUGCCGCACAAUUUUACCAGGCCGAGGAUGGAAGCUCAAUGGAGAAGCUGUUCUGGUAUCAGUAUGCUGAGGCCGGACACCCGGUGCCAAUGAGCGACCAGCUGAAGCAGGUGGUCGAGCUACAUAAGGCGGCCGAUCAGGCCAUGAAGGGCUUUAUAGUCCGGCUGUGGCCUGGCGACGCCCUUCCGAACAGCUUCCUCGGCCUGGUGAGGCGGCUUGUGGAUGCCUGCCCGCGGCUGGAGGUCGUCAAGCGAUCUGUCUACAUUGAGGGUGCACGCCGGGCUUUCGCCCGUGUGAAAUUGCAGUGGGUCAAGCUAGACGCCGUGAAGCUGAUCAAGGAGGGGCCGCCGGAGGGCAAGGAGCACCGCCACCCCGAGAUGUACUACGAGGGUGUUCUGCUGGGUGCCCGUCUCAUAGCGGACGAGUGUUCAAAAGAUGUAAUAUUUGAGUGAGACUUGCUCGUUUUAUCCUGUAUUUAUGAAAACUUGUUUCAUAUGCACUAUGCAACGCUUGUUUGAAUUUAGAAUAUUACCUUCUGUUUGGCCGUUUAUCAAUCUGAGAGAUGGCUAGUCCUCAGCUUCUGCCCCCAUGCCACGAGUGCUGGGGUCUUCGGGAUAAACCUGAGCACUCUUGUUCCCAUAUUUGGGUCCUUGGAGGGAGGUGCUCAGCACAACGAACAAGGAAACCCGACUAAUAAUGCUUUAUCACUCUCACUUAGCGAUAGAAUUCUAUAAUUUUAAAUUUCGGCGAAGCCCCUGGUAUUCGGAAGGCCGAAUUCGGGGCGCGAUACACGCCUUUAAGCCGGACAGGGCCGGCCCCUCGCCCUAAGCGGCAUAAGUCUUUGGGGACUCGAUAACCUCGCCGAACAGCGAUCAGUCUCUCCCCUUAUCAUGACAGUCAGUUUUAGCUUUCUCUACUUAGGUGCCGAACCCAGCAAAACCGGGGCACAAUCGCAGUAGUUCUCCUAGCGCUACCUUAGCCGAUAGAGUGGAACGUAAGGUACCAAAACAUAGGAGCCGGGCAAACCCAACAUUUGACCAAAGACAUGAUUCGGAGCUGAUGCAUAUAAUGCUAUAAGUUUGGGGUGCCGCACUUGUGAAAGUGUUCGGACUUUUCACACCGUAUUGUGGGGUACGUAAGCCCCUGGUGUAUUGGCCGUACCAAAGUGUACGGUUGCAAGGCAUCAUUAAUGAACAUAUAUAUAUAUAUAUAUAUAUAUAUAUAACAAGAGUGCAAUAAUAGUCGUAAUGUCAUGCAUUGUUUAUUCAAAAAAUUACGUUAAAGUAGGGUGAUACAGAUAGUGUGAUAAGCAAAGAGUAGGACUAUGUCCCUUCCCAAGGCAAGCUAAGGAAUGAUAUUAAAUUGAAUAUUUCGCUCGUUACAGUAAUCCACCUAGGAAUUCCGUGGUGUGACGUAGCUAUCUGCCUCCUUGGUUGCUGCAUCGUGUGUUCGGCAAUAGUGCUGCCGGACAGUGUUUCCAGAGGUUAAUGUCCUGAAAAAAAGAGAAAAAUAACCAAACGGGAAGCCCCUAGUGCGGUUUAAGCCGCGUCUUGGGGCGUGCUGCAGUUGUGCCACCCUCCCCACCUGUGCCCAUGGUAUUUUUAAUGCGUAAUUAUGUACGCGUGGCAUGAGUUUCGUCGUUGGGCUGGGAUUGGGGUGGCCGCCUUAUUGCUACGCGAGCUCAGAUCGCGCAAGGCGGUCUAUUUGCCGAUUGCUCCGAGCGCGCUUGAAGGUGUCCGGGCUUUGAAGCGCCGGACUGGUUGAUUGCCUUGAGAGGCUGCUUUGCGCUUCUGCUGCGAGGGCCGCGGUGUGCUCCUCUGUUCGGAGAGAGCACUCUGUGUUUCCAUUGACUGUAAUAACUCCGCGAGGUCCUGACAUCUUGAGCUUGAGGUAUGCAUAGUGCGGUACCGCAUUGAAUCUAGCAAAUGCGGUUCGCUCGAGCAGCGCGUGGUAACCACUGCGGAAUGGGACUAUAUCGAAGAUUAGCUCUUCGCUUCGGAAGUUAUCCGGGGAUCCGAAGACCACUUCCAGUGUAAUUGAGCCUGUGCAAUGGGCCUCUACACCUGGAAUGAGGCCUUUAAAGGUCGUUUUUGUGGGUUUGAUCCUUGAGGGGUCUAUACCCAUUUUGCGCACUAUAUCCUGAUAAAGUAGGUUCAGGCUGCUGCCGCCAUCCAUAAGGACUCGAGUGAGGUGAAAUCCGUCAAUGAUUGGGUCUAGGACUAGUGCGGAAAAUCUACCAUGAUGGAUACUAGUGGGGUGGUCCCUUCGAUCGAAGGUGAUCGGAUAGGAGGACCAAGGGUUGAACUUUGGGGUGACUGGCUCGAACGCAUAUACGUCCAUGAGCGCACGCUUCCGCUCCCUCUUAGGGAUGUGGGUUGCGUAUAUCAUGUUCACCGUCUGCAGUUGCGGGGGAAACCUCUUCUGUCCUUCGAUGUGCGGCUGCCGGGGCUCCUCCUCGUCAUCGCUAUGCGGCCCCUUGUCCUUCUUUUCGGCAAUUAACUUGCGGGCCUGCUUGAACACCCAACAAUCCCUGUUGGUGUGAUUGGCUGGCUUGUCUAGGGUGCCGUGUAUUUGACACGAGCGAUCGAGUAUACGUUCCAAGCUGGAUGGACCUGGCGUACUUUGUUUGAAUGGCUUUUUCCGCUGACCGGGUUUAGAGCCUUUGAAUCCGGCAUUGACUGCCGUAUCCUCGGUAUUUUCGCUGUUAAUGCGGCGGUUAUGUUUGUUGUGACAUGACCUGCUAUUGCCAUCCUUGGUAUCGGAGGUACCAUGGUUCUUUGAUAUGUUAUUACUACGGGCCAGCCAGCUGUCUUCUCCCGCACAAAAGCGGGUCAUGAGCGUCGUGAGAGCUGCCAUAGAUUUCGGCUUUUCCUGACCAAGGUGCCAGGCUAGCCACUCGUCUCGGAUGUUGUGUCUGAAAGCCGCUAAGGCCUCUGCAUCCGGACAGUCGACGAUUUGAUUUUUCUUUGUGAGGAACCAAGUCCAGAAUUGCCUAGCCGACUCUUCUGGCUGCUGAAUUAUGUGGCUCAAGUCAUCGGCGUCUAGUGGUCGCACAUAAGUGCCCUGAAAGUUGUUGAGGAAUGCGGCUUCCAGAUCUUCCCAACAGCUAAUGGAGUCCGCUGGCAAGCUGUUAAGCCAAUGCCGCGCUGGUCCUUUGAGCUUUAGUGGAAGAUAUUUGAUGGCGUGUAAGUCAUCACCGUGGGCCAUGUGGAUGUGGAGGAGGAAAUCCUCGAUCGAUACUGCAGGAUCUGUUGUGCCGUCGUAUGAUUCAAUAUUUACAGGUUUGAAACCUUCUGGGAAUUGAUGAUCCAUUACUUCGUCUCUGAAGCAUAAGGGGUGUGCGGCGCCUCUGUAGUGGGCUAUAUCGCGACGCAGCUCGAAUGGGUCUUGCCCGCUGUGUUCGGCCCGGCCGGAUUUGCUUUUACUGUAUCCGGCGUGACAUUUAUCGUCUCGCAGAGUUGUGCGCCCUCGUGAUCCGUAGAUCGAUCUUGCAUGCUUUGCUUUGUCCUCCAAUAUAUCUCGCAGGUCUGGCGUAUCUCCCCAUGCCUUUUUAUUUGAAUGGCGUCGGGGUGGAGGCUGAGUUUUUGGCUGGACUGCCUCUCUAUCGCGGCCACGAGGUGGCCGAUCCGGGCAGUAACCUGCACUUUGGGUAAUUCUUGGAGGGGUGCUUGAGUUUAUAUUCCUCGGCCGCGAGGACUUCAGUCCAUCUGUUAGUUAAGAGAUCUUGAUCAGCUUGAAGCUGCUGCUGCUUUUUCUUUAGGCUAUUUUCCGUGGCCAUAAGCCGGUGCUUGAAGCGCUCUUGUUCGAUGGGAUCCUCUGGUACAUCGAAUUCAUCAUCGCCGAGGCUUGCCUCGUCUUCGGAGGCGGGCGUGUAAUUGUCAUCCUCCUCCUCUCCGUCUGCCGCUCUUUCAGGAGGGUUGGCUCCUCCAUCCUCCUGCUCUAAAUCUUGCUGGAGGGGAUUAUUGUUGUCUUCGGCACUAUCCGGAGUGUUAUUAUCUCCUGUGCCGGUAUCACCACUUUUGCUUUGGCGGGACUUAGAGCGGCGCCGCUGACAUCGGCGCUUGGGUUGCUUCUUGGAGAGGUCAUCCUCCGUUAUCUCGUCGCCAUUGCCUUCUUUGGGUGUAUCCACCAUGUAUAUGUCGUAUGAUGAUGUGGCUUUCGAGUGCCCUAUGGGCGCUGGUUCAUGUUCAUCUCCUACAUCGUCGUCCAUACCAUCGAUGUCUUCGGAGUCGAAGUCGAGCAUGUCGGUUAAAUUAUCGACAGUGGCUACGAAGUGGGUGGUGGGUGGGCAUCGAAUUUCUUCGUCGUCCGCCUCCCAAUCCUGUUGGCCAUAGUCCGGCCAGGGCUCUCCUGACAAAGAGAGAGACUUUAGUGAAUUCAGAAUGUCACCGAAGGACGAGUGCUGCAAGAUAUCAGCGGCGGCGAAUUCCAUGAUCGGCGCCCAGUCGGAUUCAAUUGGCAGGGGCGCGGACGGUUCGGAGUCCGGAAAAGAGUCCGGCACCUUGGAGUCACGGGCUUUGCAGAGGAUUAGGCUGGUGUUCAACUCGAUCACCGUUGAGACUGCAGCCCCUGAGGCGGUGUCUAGCCACCCGUCCUCGACUGGCGCAGUUGGCUCCGAGCUAAGGGUCAGAGCUGAUGCGGGCGCGGCCUCUGGGGUACUGUCCGGUGGUAGAGCUAGGUCAUACCCAUCGUGACAGUGCAGCGCGCCCGGCUGUGGCUUGAAUCCGUCGAAGAUCAAGUCUCCGAGGAUGUCGGCCGUGUAGUUCAAACUUCCAAAUCUGACCUGAUGGCCAGGGGUGUAGCUUUCAAUCUGCUCCAGAUGGCCAAGCGAAUUAGCCCGUAGUGCAAAGCCGCCGAACACUGGACCGCAUCGUUGUUCAUGAUCGGAGGAGCCAUCGGGCCUAAAGGUGACGACACCGAGGAAAUCUCAAUGGAAGCACCAAUGUCGGUGUCAAAUCCGGCGGAUCUCGGGUAGGGGGUCCCGAACUGUGCGUCUAGGCCGGAUGGUAACAGGAGGCAGGGGACACAAUGUUUUACCCAGGUUCGGGCCCUCUUGAUGGACGUAAAACCCUAUGUCCUUCUUGAUUAAUAUUGAUGAUAUGUGUAGUACAAGAGUAGAUCUACCACGAGAUCAGAGAGGCUAAACCCUAGAAGCUAGCCUAUGGUAUGAUUGUAUACGUCCUACGGACUAAAACCCUCCAGUUUAUAUAAACACCGGAGAGGGUUAGAGUUACACAAGGUCGGUUGCAAAGGAGGAGAUAUCCAUAUCCGUAUUGCCUAGCUUGCCUUCCACGCCAAGUAGAGUCCCAUCCGGACACGGGACGGAGUCUUCAAUCUUGUAUCUUUAUAGUCCAACAGUCCGGCUGUCCGGAGACCCCCUAAUCCAGGACUCCCUCACCCCCACUCCCUAUCGAACCCUAGCCCAAUCGCCCCACCUCCCCCACACCCCCUCGCCAGCCUCCCCACCUCUUGAUCCCAUCUGGAUCGGGGAGGGGAUCACCCCCAUCGACCCCGUCGCCGUCGCCGGAUCGCCCGUCAGCGUCGCCAGGCCUCCUCCCCGCCGCCCGUCUCCGGCUCGCCUCCCCUCUCGCUCCUCUUUCCCGACCCGAUCAGGAUCGUGAACGAGCAAUGAGCGCGACGCCCCCCCUUCAUCGGCGCCAUCACCGUGCGCCACCACCACCGCCUGAAGACCUCGCCGUCGCUGACCUUGUGUCGUCUCCUGGUAUCCCUUCCCGACUCGCGUCCUCAAGCCAGGCCGACCCCCUUCUCGGCAAUGCUGUGAGACGCCCCCCGUUUCCCUCCUCUUUCCACCGUGUUCACCGCGCCGCCUGACGAAGCUACGUACCUAGGGUAGGGGCAUGGACCUGUCCUAAGAGCCCUACCCAAGGACAUCCCUGGAAGAAGUCACCUUUCAAUCGACUUGAAGGUACCCACUCGACGGGUUUAAGACACUCGACCAAGAAGCUACCACUCGACAUGAAGCCAAUCACUCGACUGCCAGGAGAUCUAAAGUCAUUCCACGGGCAAACGGUCGGCUAUUAAGUAGUCUUUAUGGUCAUUAUAGCACUUUAUUACCAGCAUUACCAGUAACGCCCCGCCUUAAUGUACAUUGAACCCUUGGUAACGUAGGCUGGCCGGGGUCCUGGCGCGCUCUAUAUAAGUCACCCCCUCCUCCGAGACAAGGGUUCGCACCUCUAUUGUUCACAUGCCUAUAAUCCAAUCGACCGCCUCCGGGCACUGAGACGUAGGGCUGUUACUUCCUCCGCGAAGGGCCUGAACUCGUACACCUUGGUGUGUUUACAACUUCCCAAUAGCUGAGAUCUAGCCUCUCCAUACACACCCCCCUACAUCACUGUCAGAGUUAGAACCACAAUAGUUGGCGCCCACCGCGGGGCCAGAAUCUUAGCGCUUACUUGGAGAAGUUGCGAUUCUUCUGAUCCCUUUGAUCAUGGUUUCAUGCGGAGUUUUGGUGGAGGGGCGCGAGAUCCGUCUCGGCGCGCUCACAUUCAUCGCCGACGACUCCGCUUGGUUUCAGGAGGCUCCACUCGACAUCGACGUGCUCCCCGUCCGUGGUGCGACGCACUUCCGCGCAUGCGUUCGUGGCGUCCUCCUGCGGCAGCCGUCGACCCAGUAUCGGUCGGCCCUCGUGUCGUCUCCCCGCUCUGUCUCCCUCCGACGCAAGCGCUUUGGUAGGUCGAGACUUUAGAGGUGGGUGAGGCAUGCCGUGGCUCGCCAGUCGGCCGCCCCACAAGUCGCGGCAAUCGAGCCCGACAAAUCCCUCUGCAGCCUGUUCGACUGGCUCCGCGGAGACUUCAUCCGAGUGUGACAGCAGAGACCCAGCGGCUGAGGUUCUGGCGGUCGAUGGGACACACUGUCCUCCCGGUUUCCCUCGCGCUAAUGGAGGCGCGGGUGGGGGCGACCCGUCGCAUCCCCACGAUGAGUAUCUCCCCGAAUGUCUCACGGCAUCGCAGCGAGAGGAACUUCACCGCCGGAACAUAGACGCACUCCACACUCCUAUCGUCGGAGAAACCCCCGAGGCCCGGGCCUUGGAGGACGCGCGCUUGGCUAACUUGGCUGAGCGCACUCGACUGGAGAAUCUCCAGCUAAUACUCGAUGAGCAAGCGCGCCAGUGAGCUCCCGAGUCCAGUCGACGUCAGCUCUUUCCGCCGAUGCAGGUAUAUUGAACCCUAGUUCAGAAUUUGGCCGCCGCGGCCCGUAUAGCAGAGUCAAUUCAGCCCUCCCAGUCAGAGGCUGGCAGGGGCUUGUUGCAGAUCAGAGCAUUGCUCCGGGCGGCGGGGAACCAGAAUUCCGCUGUUUCUCAGUCGCAGAAUAGGAUCCACAGUCGAUCCGUUGCAACAGAUACAGUCCAGUCGGCUCACAGCCCGAGAUCGCCCCCGAGGCGUGAGGGACAUGGAGACCGGCACGAUCAGUACAGAAGAAAUGAGCAGUAUGAUCACCGAUUCGAUCGUGAGGAUCGACGUCGAGUGCCAACCCCUCCCCCGAGGAGUGGGUCAUAUGCGCCUCGAUAGCGAGAUGACAGGCGCCCUCAUAGUGUUGGGCAGAGGAUUCCAGUCGACCCCAGGGACCCAGGCUUUGAUGCGAGAUCCAUCCUUGAUCAAGGUCUGGUUGACAGGAACGGGGCUCACCGAGAAUGCCAGGACAGAGAUGCGCCUGCCAGCAGCAGAGUGCGUGUUUCAGGGACAGAGUGUUUCAGUCGAGCCAUCAGAGCCACAGUGAUUCCUCCCAACUUCAGGUUGGCGACUGGAGUCAGCUAGUUCACCGGUGAGUCUAAGCCUGACACUUGGCUCGAAGAUUACCGAGUGGCUGUACAGAUUGGCAGUGGCAAUGAUGAGGUGGACAUGAAGCAUUUGCCUCUCAUGUUAGAGGGCUCAGCCAGAGCAUGGCUAAAUCAGUUAGUGCCCAGCAGCAUUUACACUUGGGAGGACCUCUCCCGAGUGUUUGUCACAACCUUUGAGGGAACAUGCAAGCGACCUGCAGGCCUUACAGAGUUGCGGUCUUGCACGCAGAAACCGAAUGAAACGCUGAGGGAUUACAUCCAGAGGUGGAUCACAUUGCAUCACACAGUUGAGAAUGUUCCAGAUCAUCAAGCAGUUUGUGCCUUCAAAGAAGGCGUUAAGUACAGAGAAUUGAAUCUGAAGUUCGGUCGAACUGGAGAGAUGUCUCUGAAUCGGAUGAUGGAGAUUGCCACCAAAUACGCUAAUGGUGAAGACGAAGAUCGCCUCCGGAGUGGCAAGCGCAAGGCAGUCGCCCAAGAAACCGGAGGAAACUCCAGUCAGAAACAGAAGCGGAAGGCUGAGCCAGCCGCCCCUGGGGAGGCCCUGGCCGUAACCCAGGGAAAUUUCAAGGGAAAACCCAAGGGCCCCUGGAAGCCCAAGAAAGUCAAGGAUCAAGAUGGAAAUGAUGUUUUGGAUCUGCCAUGUCACUCCACACCAAGAAAGAUGAAGAGGGUAAUUUUAUUUACCCAAAGCAUACCACUCGACAGUGCCAGCUCCUGAUCCAGCAGUUUCAGGGCAAGCAACCCAAAGAUAAGGAAAAAGAGCCAGACAGAGUUGAGGACAAGGAUGAUAGUGACGAUGGAUACCCCCAAGUCAAUUCCACCCUGAUGAUUUUUGCUGAUGUCGAAAGCAAAAGUCGACUGAAAGUCAUUAAUCGUGAAGUGAAUAUGGUUGCUCCGGCAACACCUAGUUAUCUGAAGUGGUCUCAGGCUGCCAUAACAUUCGACCAGUCUGAUCACCCUACGCACAUUGCCACCCCUGGGAGGCAAGCUUUGGUGGUCGACCCAGUUGUCGAAGGCACUCGACUGACCAAAGUCCUGAUGGAUGGUGGCAGUGGCCUGAACAUACUGUAUGCUAAAACAUUGAAAGGGAUGGGCAUUCCGAUGUCCGGGCUCAGUACCAGCAACAUGAGCUUCCACGGAGUCAUUCCCGGGAAGUAAGCCGAAUCACUCGGCCAGAUUGCUCUUGAUGUGGUUUUCGGUGAUUCAAAGACUUACCGCAAGGAAAAGUUGACAUUCGAGGUUGUGGACUUCCAAAGUGCUUAUCAUGCCAUUUUGGGCAGACCAGCUUAUGCACGCUUCAUGGCCUGACCAUGUUAUGUGUAUCUCAAAUUGAAGAUGCCUGGUCCUAAAGGUGUGAUCACUGUUACAGGCAAUCGGAAGAAGGCAGAAGAGUGUUUUCAGAAAGGCUCAAAGAUUGCUGACGCUCAGAUGGCAGUGGUUGAGCUGCAAGAGUAUCAGAAGACUGCAGAUCCGAGUGAGUUGCUACGAGCUAAGAAGCCCACUUCGGAGUCAGCUUUUCAGUAGUCUGGUGAAAUGAAGGCAGUUCACAUUCACCCGACCAACCCCGAGGCUGCCCCGACUCACAUCUCAAAGACGCUCGACUCCAAAUAGGAAGAAGUGCUCAUCCAGUUCCUCCGUGAGAACUGGGACAUCUUCGCAUGGAAGCCUUCUGACAUGCCUGGAAUAACCAGGGGGCUGGCUGAGCACCGUCUACGAGUCGACCCAAAGUUCAAGCCUAUGAAAGAACAUCUUCGACGGUCCGCCGUCCAAAAGAGGAAAGCUAUUGGCGAGGAGGUGGCUCGGCUCUUAGCAGCAGAGUUCAUCCGAGAGAUGUACCACUCUGAGUGGCUCGCCAAUGUUGUCAUGGUCCCCAAGAAGGACAAGUCGCUUCGCAUAUGCAUCGACUUUAAACAUAUCAAUCGGGCCUGCCCGAAAGAUCAUUUUCCUCUCCCUCGCAUCGACCAAAUAGUCGACUUGACCGCGGGGUGUGAGCGAUUGUCUUUUCUAGACGGCUAUUCCGGGUACCAUCAGAUCCGUCUGUAUGGACCCGAUGAGAUCAAAACAGCUUUCAUCACUCCAUUCGGGUGCUUCCGUUAUGUCACCAUGCCCUUCGGCCUCAAGAACGCUGGAGCCACGUUCAUGAGGAUGAUUCAGAAGUGUUUGCUCACUCAAAUCAGUCGGAACGUGGAAGCAUACAUGGAUGAUAUUGUGGUCAAGUCGCGGAAAGGUUCCGACCUGCUGACUGACCUUGCUGCAACCUUUGCCAACCUUAGGAGGUAUGAUAUCAAGCUUAAUCCAUCAAACUGCACAUUCGGAGUUCCGGGUGGAAAGUUACUCGGUUUUCUCGUUUCCGAAUGAGGAAUCAACGCCAAUCCCGAGAAAGUUGGCACCAUACUCCGGAUGAAGCGCCCUGUGCGUGUGCACGAUGUCCAGAAGCUUAUGGGUUGCUUGGCCGCUCUAAGUCGAUUCAUUUCUCGUCUCAGUGAAAAGGCAUUGCCUCUUUACCGACUGAUGAAGAAGUCUGACAAGUUCGAGUGGACUCCAGAAGCUGAUGCAGCGUUUGCAGACCUCAAAGCUCUGCUCUCCACCCAGCCGGUGCUUGCUGCCCCAAUCAGUAAAGAGCCUUUGCUGCUUUACAUUGCAGCCACAGGACAAGUUGUCAGUACAGUACUUAUGGUCGAGCGGGAAGAUGAAGGAUAGGCCUUCAGAGUUCAACGCCCAGUAUAUUAUGUGUCUGAAGUUUUGACACCUUCAAAACAAAGAUAUCCUCAUUAUCAGAAGCUUGUAUACGGGAUUUAUAUGACCACGAAGAAGGUUGCACAUUACUUCUCUGACCACUCCAUUACAGUCGUCAGCGACGCCCCACUGUCAGAGAUUCUGCAUAACAGAGAUGCAACUGGUCGAGUGGCGAAGUGGGCGAUUGAACUCCUUCCCCUAGAUAUCAAGUUUGAAGCAAAUAAGGCUAUCAAGUCCCAAGCAAUUGCAGAUUUCAUCACCGAGUGGAUCGAACAGCAGCUUCCGACUCAAGUUCACCCGGAGCACUGGACCAUGUUCUUCGAUGGAUCUAAGAUGCUGAAUGGUUCCGGUGCUGGGGUAGUAUUGGUCUCCCCCCGAGGAGAUAAGCUCAGAUAUGUUCUCCAGAUUCACUUUGAUUCCUCCAAUAAUGAAGCAGAAUAUGAAGCACUUUUGUAUGGGUUGCGCAUGGCCAUUUCACUUGGCGUCCGUCGCCUCAUGGUCUAUGGCGACUCAGAUUUGGUGGUUAAUCAGGCGAUGAAGGAGUGAGACGUCAGAAGUCCGGCAAUGACUGGUUAUUGCAAUGUAGUGAGAAAGCUAGAAAAGAAAUUCGAGGGGUUAGAGCUUCAUCACAUCCCCCGACUGAAAAAUCAGGUAGCUGACGAUUUGGCAAAGAUAGGCCCCAAGAGAGAAGCCAUUCCCAGCAACGUGUUCCUGGAACACAUUCAUUCGCCAUCAGUCCAAGAAGAUCCUUUUACAGAAGAAGCCCCGCAGCCGAAAAGUGCCACAGAUCCGACUGAAGUCGAAGUCCCUGCUGUGGUCGACCUAAUCAUGGAAGUCUUCGCAAUCACUCCCGACUGGACGAUACCGUACAUCGCGUAUAUCCUAAGGAAAGAACUCCCGGAGGACGAGGAAGAGGCUCGACAGAUCGUCCGCCGAUCCAAAGCCUUCACAGUCACAAGGGGACAGUUGUAUAGAGAAAGCGCGACUGGGAUCGGUCAGAAGUGCAUAACACUAGAAGAGGUUCAGAUAAUCCUUGACGACAUCCACUCGCGGACCUGUGGUCACCAUGCGUCUUCUCGGACCAUUGUGGCUAAAGCAUACCGAGCGGGAUUUUACUGGCCAAGAGCAAAUGAGAUGGCAAAAGAGAUAGUCGACCAGUGUGGAGGGUGCUAGUUCUACUCCAACAUGUCACACAAGCCUGCGUCAGCCCUGAAGACCAUUCCACUCGUCUGGCCCUUUGCUGUCUGGGGACUGGACAUGGUUGGUCCACUAAGAACAGGCAGGAGCGGUUUCACUCAUGUGCUUGUGGUAGUCGACAAGUUUACCAAAUGGAUUGAGGCUAAGCGCAUCAAGAAUCUUGAUGCUUGCACUACUAUCAGUUUCGUCAGAGGGCUAACAUUCAGAUAUGGAGUCCCGCAUAGCAUCAUCACUGACAAUGGGUCAAACUUUGAUUCGGACAAGUUCAGAGCUUUUUGCGCCUCUCAAGGCACACGAGUCGACUACGCAUCGGUCGCCCAUCCCCAGUCGAAUGGACAAGCAGAGAGAGCAAAUGGUUUGAUUCUCAAAGGACUAAAGCCUCGACUGAUGCGCGAUCUCAAGCACGCGGCAGGUGCUUAGGUCGACGAGCUUCCGUCAGUUCUGUGGGGAUUGAGGACCACCCCGAACCGGUCGACUGGAGGAACUCCAUUCUUUCUGGUUUAUGGAGCCGAGGCAGUUCUGCCGAGUGAUCUUCUUCACAACGCACCCCGAGUCGAACUUUAUACCGAAGAUGAAGCAGAACAAGCCCGGCAAGACGCAGUCGACCUACUAGAAGAAGAGAGGGAGAUGGCCAUGAUCAGAUCGACCAUUUAUCAGCAAGACUUGCGUCGAUUCCACGCUAGGAAUGUGAAGAGUCGAGCCUUCCAAGAAGGAGAUUUGGUCCUCCUAGUGGAUCAACAGAAACCACACAAGCUUGCUCCUACUUGGGAAGGCCCCUUCAUCGUCACCAGAGUCCUCCACAAUGGAGCGUAUCACCUCUACAAUGUUGAUCGCCAGAUCGAUGAGCCGCGAGCUUGGAAUGCGGAACUGCUCCGCCCCUUUUACACUUGAGUUCUCCCUUGGACGAGAUGUAAUAAGAAAAAAUUUCUGCAGUUCAUUUUUAUCAAAGGCAAGAGUGUUCCAAUAAUUGCUGUCACUUUUGUUUGCAUACGAAAUCCCCCAGUGGGUGACUUAGCUGCGAAUCCGUUUCGCCUAAGUUUGAAAAAUCCUACCGAGUGGAGAGCCAGAUUCCCACUCGGGGGCUUAGCUCCAGCCCAGUGCUUGCCUAAGUGUUCAAAAAUCCUACCAAGUGAGAGCAAUCCUCCCACUUGGGGGCUUAGCUGCAGUCCAGUACUCGCCUAAGUUCUCCCACUUAGAGACUUAGCUGCAGUCAGGCACUCGCCUAAGUUUGAAAAAAUCCUACCGAGUGGAGAGCAAUCCUCCCACUCGAGGGCUUAGCUGCAGUCCAGUACUCGCCUAAGUUCUCCCACUUAGAGACUUAGCUACAGUCAGGCACUCGCCUAAGUUUGAAAAAAUCCUACCGAGUGGAGAGCAACCCUCCGACUCGGGGGCUUAGCUGCAGUCCAGUACUCACCAAAGUUCUCCCACUUAGAGACUUAGCUANNNNNNNNNNNNNNNNNNNNNNNNNNNNNNNNNNNNNNNNNNNNNNNNNNNNNNNNNNNNNNNNNNNNNNNNNNNNNNNNNNNNNNNNNNNNNNNNNNNNNNNNNNNNNNNNNNNNNNNNNNNNNNNNNNNNNNNNNNNNNNNNNNNNNNNNNNNNNNNNNNNNNNNNNNNNNNNNNNNNNNNNNNNNNNNNNNNNNNNNNNNNNNNNNNNNNCUCUCCUUCCGAGCUACGCCACAAGUACAACAUGCGCUCUGCAAGGAGGACGAGGUGCAGGUCGACUGCUACCCUCUCCUUCCGAGCUACGCCACCAAUUCAAAAUCCUACUGAGUGGAGAGCAAACCUCCCACUCGGGGGCUUAGCUGCAGCCCAGUGCUCGCCUAAGUAUUUGAAAUCCUACCGAGUGGAGAGCAAACCUCCCACUCAGGGGCUUAGCUGCAGCNNNNNNNNNNNNNNNNNNNNNNNNNNNNNNNNNNNNNNNNNNNNNNNNNNNNNNNNNNNNNNNNNNNNNNNNNNNNNNNNAAAUCCUACCGAGUGGAGAGCAAACCUCCCACUCGGGGGCUUAGCUACAGCCCAGUGCUCGCCUAAGUAUUUAAAAAUCCUACCGAGUGGAGAGGAAACCUCCCACUCGGGGGCUUAGCUGCAGCCCAGUGCUCGCCUAUGUGUUUAGAAAUCCUACCGAGUGGAGAGCAAACCUCCCACUCGGGGGCUUAGCUGCAGCCCAGUGCUCGCCUAAGUGUUUAGAAAUCCUACCGAGUGGAGAGCAAACCUCCCACUCGGGGGCUUAGCUGCAGCCCAGUGCUCGCCUAAGUGUUUAGAAAUCCUACCGAGUGGAGAGCAAACCUCCCACUCGGGGGCUUAGCUGCAGCCCAGUGGUCGCCUAAGUGUUUAAAAAUCCUACCGAGUGGAGAGCCAGACUCCCACUCGGGGGCUUAGCUGCAGCCUAGCGCUCGCCUAAGUGUUUAAAAAUCCUACCGAGUGAGAGCAAACCCCUCACUCGGAGGGCUUAGCUGCAGCCCGGUGCUCACCUAAGUACAGGACACAACCCAAUCCGCAAGAAGUUACGCCACAAAUACAAGGUUAUUCCGAGUGAAGAUCAAGUUGCACUCGACAGAUCAAACCAUGAAGAUAUCCAACGAGAAAUCAAGUUCGGAUAAAGCCUAAAGGUCCCAGACCUCAGAUCAAAGUACUCGAGCCCUCGGCUCGGCAGAGUUUAACGGUUACAAAUCCACUCAGCAUUCCGAGGCAAAUUUAAAGUGAAGCACGACGAACUCGUCCAAGUCGAUCCCGUCUGCAAUACGAGUGGCAGCAGCGAUGAAAGUCUCCAUGAAGUCUUGAAAGCUGUGCUUCCUGGUAUUGGCAACUUGGAUGGCGGCCGGCUUUUCUUCUCGCGCCUCCUUGCAAUGGACGCGGACCAGAGACAGAGCGACAUCAGCACCACAUCUAGCAGAAGAUUUCUUCCAUUCCGCCACUCAACCCGGGACUUCAUUCUGUCGAGCCAUCAGAGACUCGAGGUCGUUCUGAAGCAUCAUCCCAGGCCAGAGUGAUGUGUCAAUCCGCGACAUCGCAACCUUCAGUCGAGCAAGAUAGUCAACAACACUGGUAACACGAGACUCCAGUCGGAGCACGUUCAUAGCAGCUUCAUCCUUCACGAGAGAAUUGGCGGGGUCCAAGCCUGGCUCCACUCGACUGGUUUCCUCUUCGAAGUUCUGGCAGAAUUCUGCAAACACGAUUCAAGAGUCAGACAUUGGCUCUACACAGGCUUGGCAACUGCAAGACAGUCGGGGCAGAGUAAUUACCUUCGAGCAUGACGAACAGCUUCUUGGUGAGUCCACCGAGAUAAGCCUCCAGAUCAUUUACCUUCCCCGCCAGCUUACCCGCCUGGUCGUGUAGAACCAUCUUUUCAUUCUUCAGUCGGCUGACCUCUUGAUUAGCUGUCUCGAGAGCAGUUUUCAGCCUCGAGUUCUCCUGUUCAAGAGUUCCGACCGAAGCCAUUUUCUCUUCUCCAAGCUUCGUUCUGCUCAAGGCCUCCUUCUGUGAUUCUGCAAGAUCUUGAUCCUUCUUCUUCAGAGCUUCUUCCAGUUUAUCUGCGGCACGUCGAGUGAAAUCAACAUCAAGAAUGGACAAGCAAGAAAAAUCACUCGUCAAGAAUGGAGAACCUCACCAGCCAUACCUUUUGCUUCUUCUUGCGCCUUCCUCAAAUUCUCUUGAGCAAGCUUCAAGUUAAGGUUGAGCUGGAUCUGCUUAUUCUCCAACUCAGUAUAGCGAGCUACAAGUUCACAGGAUUUCUGCAAAAAGAAAAAUCAGUGGACAGACGUCCAAGAUAAGUUGCUUCCCAAUAACUAAAAGACAACGAUGGCGUUUCUAAGACUAUAGCCGAAUCUAAAACAUUCGACAGUAGUCUCGGGGACUACACCCAGUGGGUGCACUCUGCGUGCCCCCAUUGUAAAAAAAGUCGACUGCCCGCAGUCGACCGGAUACAGUUCCAUUCGACAUGGCCUGACCAGACCGAAUGAAGAAAUACAGCUACAACAACACAAUAUAAAGACUACAGUCGACUGCCAGCAGUCCACCAUAGUCUCGGGGACUACACCCAGUGGGUGCACUUAGCGUUCCCCCACUCGUCCAAGAAUUGGCAGACACACCCAGUGGGUGUACAGAUAUAAAGAUCUUCAAAAAAAAAGAUUCUUCAAACAGCAUAUCGUAACAGACCAAGUGUUGAGUCGACUGACCUGGACGUUACUCUGAAGAGCCGAACUCGCGUCAUAAGCCGCUUGGCUGGCCUCCCAAGCCGCUUUCACUUGUUCCAUCAUAAUCCCCGCCUGGCGUAUGGCCUCUUUUGCAGCAGCUGCUUGGUCCUCAGGGACGGGGUACGUGGCAAAAAGCGAAGGCGGAUCCGCAGUCGACGUCAAGGGCCGCACCCUCGUCAGAGGAAUGGCGAAAGUCACAGAAGCCCGAGUGGUUUCACCACCGUCUCGGGCUACGGCCUCAGGCGCCGGAGUGGAUUGUGGGGUCUCGCCAGCCGACGCUCCCCUGUUCCUUCUCACUCUCAGCGGCACGUCAUCGUCGUCAUCCGGAAGGUUGAUAACAUGAUAAGGAGCUACAAGAAAAAAUUCAAUCGACCAGAGUUGCAAUAAGUGUCCAGUCGACUGAAGGCAGAACAUCAGUAAUCAUACCAGGGUGGAGGUAACAGCAUCCUCCAUCUCUUGGUCGUCGUCCUUGGCAGAGACCUCCGAAGUAGGAGCACUGCAAAUCUCGAAAGUCAGUCAGUUGGCUCAAUGAAUCGACCAAGGAUCUGUCCACGGUCGACAAAGGAAAACAAGUUUUGUUAUUACCCAGAAAUGGUGGGGACAGCCAUCUUCAUCUUGGGCAGAGCCUUGGGCGGCUUGGACGGCGUCGCGCGUGGGUGCUUGGGAGCCUUUCCAGUCAGCGUAGGAGAAGAGGUUCGAGGGCGUUUCGACAACUGCCCAACAGGAGCAGUCGCCUACCACGUUCCCGCGCUGGAUCAUGUGUGAGCUUGGAUCGCCUCUCCCGGUGGGGGGGGGGGGGGGGUCAACCUCCUCCUCCUCCUCUUCGCUGGAGUUGACGUCGUCGUCUCCCUCUCCUUCGCCAUCGGACUCCCACUCGCCUUGAUCGUCUCCACUCUCACAUCCGCUCGCCUCCCCUUCCUCAGUUGGCUCCUGUGCCCCGUUGGGUGUCGAGUACAUCUCAGUAGUCGCCUGGAAAACAACAGACAAGACAAAAGUUAGUCGACCAAUUCAAAGAAGACCAAUGAAGAAAACAAGAUUUCAAUCGGGAGCGUAAAGUCAGACCUGGUCCACUUCGUAUUGUUGUCGAGUGGAGAAACCCUCCUGGCGCCUCGGGGGUUGUCUUUGUUUCCUGUGAUGCUCGUCAGCCACCCCUCCAACAUCUCAUCAGUGACCUCCUCCGGGUGGAUCCGAGUGGUGUCUUCGAGGCCCGAGUACAGCCACAUCGGGUGGCCGCGAGCCUGGAGCGGUUGGAUGCGCCUCCGAAGAAAGACCUCCAGCAAGUCCAUGCCAGUCACGCCAUCACGGACGAGCUGAACCACUCGACCAACCAGCACUUUGAAUUGGGUCUUUUCUUCUGGCGUCACUUUCAGAGAAGCAGGUUUUUGAGCUCGGUCGAGAGAGAAAUGGGGAAGCCCGGUCGACUGUCCUGGGGUCACCUGGUCUUUGCAGUAAAACCAGGUCGCCUGCCAACCACGGACCGACUCUGGGAAAAUGAUAGAUGGAAAACAACUCUUUCCCCUCGUCUGGAUCGCGAGGCCCCCGCACAGCUGGAUCACUUGCGUCCUUUCCUCACUCGACUUGGCCUUCUUGACCGAUUGGGAGCGGCAAGUAAAGAUGUGCUUAAAGAGCCCCCAAUGGGGGCGGCAACCCAGGAAACCCUCACACAAGGAAAUGAAGGUAGCAAGGUACACGAUAGAGUUGGGAGUGAAGUGGUGGAGCUGCGCUCCGAAGAAAUUUAGAAAACUCCGGAAAAAAGGAUGAGGAGGCAGAGAAAACCCUCGAUCGAUGUGGGUGGUGAGAAGGACACACUCACCAUCACGGGGUUGAGGCUCGACUUCUCCCCCCUGGAGACGCGCAGCCUCGUAAGGAAUGACUCCCCCCUCAACCAUAUCGUCGAGGUCUUCCUGCCGAAUCACCGACGGCAUCCAAUCGCCCUGGAUCCAGCCUCUGGGCAGAGCAGUCCUUGAGGAAGAUCCGCCCCAAGCGGACUUCUUCCCUUUCCCCUGCACCGACGCCUUCUUCGCGCGCUCCAGAGCAGACGUCUUGCCCUUCACCAUCGUCGCCGGCGAAUCUCAAACGGGUCUGCGGCGCUAGGGUGAGAGCGGAGGUGGCGGAGGACUUCGCGAAGGGAGAAAGAAGAGAAAGAAGAGAAAGGAGAGAGCACUGUUCGGGAACCCGAGCAGGCGGCUUAUAAGAGGCCGCUCCUGAGUGGCUGACUGGUAGGCCCAGGCUAUCCCGUCAAAUCCCGCAGUAGACGCGCGCGCAGCUCGUGGCGGAAAAGGUGGCACGGGAAUCGAGGAGCUUCUGCCUUAUCACAUCCGAUUACUGCGGCCGCGCCCGUCCCGCUCGCUCCCCGAUGUUCAAAUCCCGCGAAAUCCGCGGGCUGCGGAACAACUCAUCAAAUAGAAGAUCCCUCUCGUGCCGGCACUCGGUAUUUCACAAGUAAGGAAAUUCACUCGACGGGAGACCAAGAAUGGAUCAAGGCGACCGAAAGAAGUUGACAACGUCAUCCUUGGCGAUAGAUCUAGUACAAGACGUCCAUAUGACGCUAAAAACCAGUCGGAAGGACCCCCAACUCCUUCCCCACUCGAACCUCGAUCCAUUCGGGGGCUAAUGACGAAGCUACGUACCUAGGGUAGGGGGAUGGACCUGUCCUAAGAGCCCUACCCAAGGACAUCCCUGGAAGAAGUCACCUUUCAAUCGACUUGAAGGUACCCACUCGACGGGUUUAAGACACUCGACCAAGAAGCUACCACUCGACACGAAGCCAAUCACUCGACUGCCAGGAGAUCUAAAGUCAUUCCACGGGCAAACGGUCGGCUAUUAAGUAGUCUUUAUGGUCAUUAUAGCACUUUAUUACCAGCGUUACCAGUAACGCCCCGCCUUAAUGUACAUUGAACCCUUGGUAACGUAGGCUGGCCGGGGUCCUGGCGCGCUCUAUAUAAGCCACCCCCUCCUCCGAGACAAGGGUUCGCACCUCUGUUAUUCACACGCCUAUAAUCCAAUCGACCGCCUCCGGGCACCGAGACGUAGGGCUGUUACUUCCUCCGCGAAGGGCCUGAACUCGUACACCUUGUUGUGUUUACAACUUCCCAAUAGCUGAGAUCUAGCCUCUCCAUACACACCCCCAACAUCACUGUCAGAGUUAGAACCACGACACCGCCUGCCGUGCCCCUCGCCGCACGCCCACCACCGCGCCAGCCCCCACUCUGUGGACGACCCUAGCCGCGCCCGCGCCGUGAUCCCCUUUUCCGCCCUACCUUCCCGCACUCGCCGCGGUCCCGAUGCUCCCCCGCGCCCUCUUUCAGGGGCGCCGACUGCCCCUGUCCCAUUACUCGCCGCCGCGCCUCGCCACCGCUCUACUGCUACGUUACUACUGCGCUGCGGCCGCCGCCUCUUCCCGCUGCUCCGCUAGCGCCGAAGCUCCCGGCUGGCUCUGCCACUGGUCACGUUUAACUACCGGUCUAAAUGGCCUAACCUCCCGGCAAAUGAACCCCCAGUAACCCACUGACACCGGGAGCCACAUCCCCUAAUUAACCAUUAAUAAAUUAAAACUCUUAAAUUAACAUUAGUGUAUGACAUGUGCGUCCCCUGUUAAUUAAUAAUUUACAUUAGUGUAUGACAUGUGCGUACCCUGUUAAAUAAACUGAUUUAAUUAAAAUCUAUUAACUUCGAGUCUAUGACAUAUCACUACUUGGGAAAAUCCUAGCAGUAGCGUGGGUAUUUUUCCUAUCAGUUGCGCCGGAUACCGCUCUACUGAUAAGGCACUACAGCUAACAUGUAGCAGUAAUGCGUGUCAUCCAACGCUACUGCUGUACAUGGCUAGCAGUAGCGAGCUUUAGUGCAAAGCGCUGCUGCUAAUAUCUGCAGCGCUUUUCAGCAUGAAGUGAUACUGGUAAGGGACCUCUACUACUAACUUUAUUCCCCUCGCUACUGCUAGUUUUAUUAGUUUCUGUUUUUUUCUGCAUAUUUCUUUUGUAUUUGAACAGGCUUUAUACAAUAAUAUUUAGCGUAUCAUACACAUACAAAUGUAAUCAUAGCAUAUACAUACAAAUAGUCUCGUCAAAUCAUGUCAUCAUCAUAAUCAUCAUCCAUCACAAAGUGGUCUCUCGUCAUCAUCUCUAAAAUAGCGAUACAAGUCUCGAUUACUUGCAACUACAUUGUCAUCCGUCUAAACAAUGAUAUACGCGAGAAGAGCUAUCACUAUGAGUGAGAGCGGAACUAUGCAGUACAUGAGUUUGUAUCCCUCUCUCGCAUUAGCGUGAACCUAAACUAACUACUAGUUGUCGCUCGGAAACCAGAAACCGGUACACCUGGGCCUGACACUCCGUCCACUCAUCUUAUACUCCUGGCGUAGCACUUCUGUGCCAUCGAUGAUCUAUGCACCUGCAUCGUCACAUGAGUCGAUGAUAUGCAACAUAUAUAGUUGAGCAAUAGAAACAGACAGACUUGGCAAAAAUAGAAGCAACAUAUCAUAAGCAUAAAUAACAAAGUUCAUCAUACCCAAAAUGCCCUAACUAGAGUGAUCUUCGCUAGUCGAGGAGGACGGUUUAAUUACAUCACAAAUAAUGUUUCAUCUUGCAUAACUCAAAGUGCCAUCAUACAGAAAGUAUGAACUAAACGGACACAUUGUCAUAUGUCGACAAUCACUCCAACAUGUCGUGCCAUCGAUCCAAGUCAAGGAGAUAGUCCCCGAGCUUAGUGAAAGGCUUCAGGUUGAGACGCUGAGCGGCAACGCGUGUUCGGACGUCUUCCCUCGACAUUUUUCCUUCUUCAUAGAACAUCCCUGUUUUUUCGAUGACCUCCCUCAUGAUGAUUUGGGCAAGUUCGCACUGGAAGUGAUAGAACUCAUCUUGAAGUCGAUGAUCCUCGAUAUCUCCUAAGUUCUUUGCCCAUUGCAGAAUAUGGGCAUCGCCGAAUCUAGGUGUCAUGCAAAGGUUCUGGUGAUCCCGUAUGUACUCCAUCAUGUGGUGUAGGACAUAGAAUCCAUCAUUAAGAGAAUCACUCAGUUGCUGGAUACAGCAGAAGCCGGUCUUAUGGCCGAAGGCGGGCCUGCCGUCCCUUUUCUUCUUGUCCUUGACCUCUCCACCCCGUGCACCGUAGUAAAACAUAGCACCGUCGAGAACAUACUUGAUGUGGGUGUAAUCCUUUUUUUUAAUGUUCUUCGAUGAGUCCAAGUAAAGAGCGUGGGAGUAUCGGGGGUAGAGGAUGAUGAGGAUGGUGCACCCGCCGCUGCGCAAAAUAAGUACACCUCAAAUUAAUUAGCCUCCACCGUGCAAAUGAAUGAUUGAAAUCGUAGGAAGGAUAUCCGCGUGGAUGACUUACAGGGGAUGAUAAGGCACAAGAAUCACCUCCUUGUCCUUAUUGGCACGCAUGAAAUUGACGAUGUAUUCCUCGCGUAUUCACGGUGCUUUGCGUGGACUCACAAGAAGACCUCGUGCAUGAAGUACCGAUCAGUGACACAGAUAUGAGGUAUUUGCUCAACCCCGAUGAGGUAGUUCAUGUGCAAGGCAUAAAGGUGGACGAAUGUAAAAUCCAGCUUCUUUAAGUGAAACAUGUCGAAGAUGUAAUCCAAUCGAAGGAAGAACUUGUUCGAGGGGAAUGUGUCGAUGUACGACAAUUGCAGCGACACGUUAACCACGGAGAGUGGGUAUGCUGGAUUUUUUGAGGCAAUGAGGCCUUUCUCUAUCAGCAACACAUCAUCAUGAAGUCUCCUUAUAUCGCCAAAUCAGGCCCCUAGCGCUGCUUUAGGUAGGAUUGGUUAACCGGGGAUACGCCAUAUUGCCGCACCGAGGAUAUCUAUACGGUCUUGAACCCGAGCCUGCUGAGGUGGCUGGAUCAUAGAAGCACCUUUGUUUCCUUUCCUCGGUGUCUUCCUUGGCUUCUUUGCUACCGGAAAGUCGUCUAUAAUAUGUUCAGCCUCUGGAGGCGGCAAUUCAGGCACCAACUCAUGCGCUCAAACCCUGAGUAGGCGCCAGUAUUGAGGUAUUGUUGAAUGUCAUCGUCGUCCUCAUCUAUGGCGAUGUCACUAGCGACAAAUCGAGCCUCUUCCUCACCCCGUCCGCUAUCACCCAGCACGACAGCCGACGCUAAUUGGGUAGGUGGGGUGUUGAUGUUCGUACCUAACUGCGUGCUCGUGUGUGUGCUCCCGGCCGCCUCCAGACAAAGCAGACUCUUUGACCACAACAGGACCCACCCAUUGCAACCACCAAGCCGCUGCGGGGUCUCGUCGUCAUCCCCUAGUAUCGGAGGAGCCAAAUUCUCGUGGCCCGGUUUGACACUGGCCACGAAAACUUUGAAGACAUACGGGGGGAUUGGUCGGCCAUGGAACAAUGGUUCCUUCGGCUUCAUUACCGUCACCUUCCCCACGUCCACCUUUUGGUCGCCGAUGUUGUACAAUAUGGUGCACGGGGUUACAUCGGCCUGCAAAGACACCGUGAGAUUAUACAUUUAUGGAAGAGGGCCGGUGUGACAGAUACCGUGAGGGCGUCGAGCUCAGCCAAAGACGAAGGACAGCUGAGCACGGCCGGUGUGGGAGCCGGUGUGGGAGCCGGUGCAGGUGCAGGUGCUGGUGCAUCGCUAGUCGUGCUACUCCCGAAGAAGUCAACAAUGGGAAAGUCCGCUGCAUUUUUUCUGGAUUUUGCAUGCUCCAAUUGAAAACGGCUGGAACCAAGACAAUAGACAUAUCUGCAACCACCUGUUUUGCGGCAGCUACCGUUAUCGUGACAGUCUCAGAUGAUUUCUUCUCUACUGCAAUCUCAACCUUCUUGUCGAUGUUUUCUUCAGUUAACCUCCAUCUUUCCUUUCUCUCCUCCGUGGUCUCACGGUAGCACUUCUUCCACGUGGCCCCGUCUCCGACACCGUGAACGCGUCCAUACGACGACCGAGUCUCCACUGGGAGUCCUUUCAAUAUGUUCAAUGCCCGGUUGAAUGGAGUGUCCCACUUGGGCCUCGCCAACGCCUCAGACGGCGAGUCUCUUUCGGUCGCAAUCUUGUGCUGCUCUCUCUACAAAAGGAACAAGGAUCAUUUACAAAUAUGACUAAACGUGCAGUCGAAUUGAUCAGAAACUAAAAUUACCAGCAGUCUCAUGAACUCCGUCGUGAUCGGGUCCGUCUUGAAAACCUUCUUGACCGAGUGCCAAUGGUGCCGUGCCCUGAGGACGUCAUGCUCCUACAGGACGGUGAAGUCCGCCAAGGGGUCUAGGAUGCCAGACUUUCGCGUUUCGUGUCCUCCUUGGCCCAUAUGGACCUCUUCCUGCUGUAACCACGGCUUCCGAGGUGGCGGUGCCCCAUGUUCCUUUGUUGAAACCCCUUCAUGUACUUUGACUUUGUUUUGGCAGUUUCAGCCUCGCAAGCCGCCUUGAAUAUUUCAAAGUGCUCUCCCGUGAUUGUCGGAUUAUCCUUUACAAUCUCGGAGUAGGGUUGAUACGUCUCCAAUGUAUCUAUUAUUUUUGAUUGCUCCAUGCUAUAUUAUCUACUGUUUUGGACAUUAUUGGGCUUUAUUAUCUACUUUUAUAUUAUAAUUUGGACUAACCUAUUAACCGGAGGCCCGAGCCCAGAAUUGCUGUUUUUUUGCCUGUCUUAGGGUUUCAAAGAAAAGGAAUAUCAAACGGAGUCCAAACGGAAUGAAACCUUCGGGAACGUGAUUUUCUCAACGAACAAGACCCAGGAGACUUUGACCCUACAUCAAGACACAAGGCGAAUCAUGUACGUAGCCACUAGUGAAACAUAUUAUCUUUAUUAUAUCUAUCAGAUCUCACUCUCGUAAGUGGCCGUGUUGGGAUUGACAACCCCUAUUCAUGUUGGUUGAGAGGAUUGAUUUGUUUUGUGCAAGUACAAAGGACUCGCGCGUAGCCUCCUAUUGGAUUAAUAGCUUGGUUCUCAAAAAGUGAGGGAAAUACUUACGCUACUUUGUUGCAUCAUCCCUUCCUCUUCGGGGAAAACCAACGCAGUGCUCAAGAGGUAGCAAGAAGGAUUUGCUGNNNNNNNNNNNNNNNNNNNNNNNNNNNNNNNNNNNNNNNNNNNNNNNNNNNNNNNNNNNNNNNNNNNNNNNNNNNNNNNNNNNNNNNNNNNNNNNNNNNNNNNNNNNNNNNNNNNNNNNNNNNNNNNNNNNNNNNNNNNNNNNNNNNNNNNNNNNNNNNNNNNNNNNNNNNNNNNNNNNNNNNNNNNNNNNNNNNNNNNNNNNNNNNNNNNNNNNNNNNNNNNNNNNNNNNNNNNNNNNNNNNNNNNNNNNNNNNNNNCCUCCACCCUCGUGGGCCCCCUGUUGCUCCACCGACGUACUCCUUCCUCCUAUAUAUACCUACGUACCCCCAAACGAUCAUAUACGGAGCCAAAACCCUAAUUCCACCGCCACAACUUUCUGUAUCCACGAGAUCCCAUCUUGGGGCCUGUUCCGGAGCUCCGCCGGAGGGGGCAUCAAUCACGGAGGGCUUCUACAUCAACACCAUAACCUCUCCGAUGAAGUGUGAGUAGUUCACCUCAAACCUACGGUUCCAUAGUUAUUAGCUAGAUGGCUUCUUCUCUCUUUUUGGAUCUAAAUACAAUGUUCUCCCCCUCUCUUGUGGAGAAUUAUUCGAUGUAAUCUUAUUUUUGCGGUGUGUUUAUUGAGACCGAUGAAUUGUGGGUUUAUGAUCAAGUCUCUCUAUGAAUAAUAUUUCAAUCUUCUCUGAAUUAUUUUAUGUAUGAUUGGUUAUCUUUGCAAGUCUCCUCGAAUUAUCAGUUUGGUUUGGCCCACUAGAUUGAUCUUUCUUGCAAUGGGAGAAGUGCUUAGCUUUGGGUUCAAUCUUGCGGUGUCCUUUCCCAGUGACAGUAGGGGCAGCAAGGCACGUAUUGUAUUGUUGCCAUCAUGGACAACAAAAUGGGGUUUUCAUCAUAUUGCAUCAGUCUAGCCCUCUACAUCAUGUUAUCUUGCUUAAGGCGUUAAUUUGUUUUUAACUUAAUACUCUAGAUGCAUGCUGGAUAGCGGUCGAUGAGUGGAGUAAUAGUAGUAGAUGCAGGCAAGAGCGGUCUACUUGUCUCGGACAUGAUGCCUAUAUACAUGAUGAUACCUAGAUAUUCUCAUAACUAUGCUCAAUUCUGUCAAUUGCUGAACAGUAAUUUGUUCACCCACCGUAGAAUACUUAUGCUCUCGAGGGAAGCCACUAGUGAAACCUAUGGCCCCGGGUCUAUCUUUAUCAUAUUAAUCUUCUACUACUUAGUUAUUUCCUUUGCUUUUUACUUUUCCUUUAUUUUACUUUGCAUCUUUAUCACCAAAAUACCAAUAAAAUUAUCUUUAUCAUAUCUAUCAAAUCUCACUCUGGUAAGUGGCCGUGUAGGGAUUGACAACCCCUAUUCGUGUUGGUUGCGAGGAUUUAUUUGUUUUGUGCAGGUACGAGGGACUCGCGCGUAGCCUCCUACUGGAUUGAUACCUUGGUUCUCAAAACCUGAGGGAAAUACUUACGCUACUUUGCUGCAUCAUCCCUUCCUGUUCGGGGAAAACCAACGCAGUGCUCAAGAGGUAGCAAGGGUUCCUUUUUGUCGACGAUCCGAUGUUUCAACCUUGUUUUCCAGGCGGCCAACGCGUCGCUAAACUUGGGCAUGGCGUGUUUGUUUAUCUUCUUCAUUGCCACGUCCUUAUCUGGAUCAUUAUUAUCCUUUUCAUUGCAGUCAGGGAACAAGAAUAUCUGGUGCAGCUUCUUUAGGAGGGAGGGCCUCAUAUUAUCUAUCUUCUGUAGUUUCCCAUCGUUGAUCGUGGCAGUUGUCCGUACGAUGCAACCUAUUUGAUUGCCGUAGCACGAUCGCGCUUCCUCGGGCGCUAUUGUCUCAAAAAUACCGUUGUCCAUCUCCGUGACCACCAGUCUAGUACUCAUGAGCUGGUUUGGGUGCCGUGGCCUCUUUGCUUUCGGUUCUAGACCAGCUCCGCUAGUCUCGGCGCCGGUCUCAGUCUCAUCACCGGUCUGCAUGUCGGUAUCAGUCCCCGAUGCGACAGCACAGUCGCUGCAACAUGGGUAAGGGAGACCACAUCAGUGCUGGGGUGGUCUGAAAAUUGGGACACACUUUCGCGCAUUGCGGGCCGCCUCUCAGACAGCUACUGGGGAGGCGGCGGAGUACCUGGGUGCGCGACGAAUCCCCGGGAACUCGGUGACCAACUUCCUUCCCAUGUAGCGCAUGGAGACGAUGGCGACCCCGCCGAAGAGCAGCUUAGUUGCGAGCUGCACAGCCUCGUCCACCUCCUAAGUUGGGACCUCCGCGCGAGCGUUGCGGGGCCGCCGCUCGGAUGGCUUCUGGAAGGCGCUUGUACAUGGGCACAGGGUGAAUCCCGGCAAGAGCUGGCCAUUGGUGCGCGCAAGUAGACGACGACGUCGCCGACGAAGAGCAGCCCGGCCAGCUCGCCUCACUCUCCUUUGAUUAGAAUUGAAAGAUUGGGAAGAAGCAGACUUGAGCCUGCAGGGAAAGGAUAAGGUGACGAUGCAGUCUCCACUCGUUCGGGGCGACACGCGUACUGAAUGUAUGAGAAACGCGACGUGGCAGGGACCCCAAGAUACUCCCUCCAUUUAUUUUUAGUCUGCAUAUAAAGUUUGGUCAAAGUCAAGAUUUGUAAAUUUUAACUAACUUUAUAAUAAAAAAAAUCAACAUUCACAAUAUGAAAUAAUUAUUACCAGAUGCGUCAUGAAAUGUAUUUCCAUACUAUAUAGGUUUGGUAAUGUAGAUGUUCAUAUUCUUUUAUAUAAAUGGGAAGUAGAGGCACUCUUCCAUAUAAUGAAGUUUAUAAUAUAUGUGCUUAUAUUAUACUAUAAUUGUUUGAAUAACUUAGCAUAUGUUCAGAUGUAUGAUAUCUGUAAUUUAAGCGCUUGAAUUUUACAUAUAAAUAUUUAUUAAUAAAUAUGUACCCCUAUAAUAGCUAGGCCGUGCAGUUGCACGGGUAGAUGACUAGUGAUUACAAUCUUGUUUGUGUGCAAGUCAAGCUUAUCUAGUUUACACGUAACAACUUGUAGAACAUUACAAAAUUUAUGCUUGCUAAUAACUUCUAGAACACUACAACACUUGACAUGUAAAAGGAAUUUGACGAGUCAUGGCCUACUAAAGAAAGUUACAUUACUAGUCUUAUAUCUAUCUUAAUAGACCACACAAGACUACAAAUUAAGUACCGUGACAGCCAUGAUUAUCUAGUUUAUGCGUAACAAUUUGCAGAAAAUUACAAACUUAGUUUUAGAAAAAUAGGCAAUCCAGAUUAGUGUUUGAGCUGUAAAGUGAAUAAGAUGAGUCAUGCGUGUUAUCACACCUUUUUGGUGGUGGAAUGAUAGUGCAAAACAAGGAACUUUAAUGAACAGUCCAAUAAUACACUUGUAAGUAGUGCCACCAAACAGAACAUACCAAAUGAUGAUUUUGAGAAGCAUCCAAGCACUUUCCACACAAACAAAUGCCAAUUGUGAAAGAGAUCAUUCCAUGGCAGCUAUAAAUAGCCCCGUAGCAUGACGAUCAUCCUUCCUCAUCCAUCAUUCUCAUAAGUAGAGCGCAUCAUUUAAGCCAAGCAAGCUGUGGUCAAUACAAAUCCACCAUGAAGACAUUUCUCAUCCUUGCCCUCCUUGCUAUCGUGGCGACCACCGCCACAACUGCAGUUAGAGUUCCAGUGCCACAAUUGCAGCCACAAAAUCCAUCUCAGCAACAGUCACAAGAGCAAGUUCCAUUGGUACAACAACAACAAUUUCUAGGGCAGCAACAACCAUUUCCACCACAACAACCAUAUCCACAGCCGCAACCAUUUCCAUCACAACAACCAUAUCUGCAGCUGCAACCAUUUCCGCAGCCGCAACUACCAUAUUCGCAGCCACAACCAUUUCGACCACAACAACCAUAUCCACAACCGCAACCACAAUAUUCGCAACCACAACAUCCAAUUUCACAGCAGCAGCAGCAGCAACAACAACAACAACAACAAGAACAACAAAUACUUCAACAAAUUUUGCAACAACAACUGAUUCCAUGCAUGGAUGUUGUAUUGCAGCAACACAACAUAGCGCAUGGAAGAUCACAAGUUUUGCAACAAAGUACUUACCAGCUGUUGCAAGAAUUGUGUUGUCAGCACCUAUGGCAGAUCCCUGAGCAGUCGCAGUGCCAGGCCAUCCACAAUGUUGUUCAUGCUAUUAUUCUGCGUCAACAACAAAAACAACAACAACAACCAUCGAGCCAGGUCUCCUUCCAACAGCCUCAGCAACAAUAUCCAUUAGGCCAGGGCUCCUUCCGGCCAUCUCAGCAAAACCCACAGGCCCAGGGCUCUGUCCAGCCUCAACAACUGCCCCAGUUCGAGGAAAUAAGGAACCUAGCGCUACAGACGCUACCUGCAAUGUGCAAUGUCUACAUCCCUCCAUAUUGCACCAUCGCGCCAUUUGGCAUCUUUGGUACUAACUAAGAAGAAAAUAACUCUAGUACUAGAUAUAUGAAACACCGUUUUCUCAGUCCAUGGUUUGGUCGUUGUAGCGGUGAAAAAAUAAAGUGACAUGCACUAUCAUGUAAGAACCCAAACUAUACUAGUUCAAACUUGGGAAUAAAAGACAAACACAGGUCUUGUCUACAUAUUUAUGCUGCAUCUAUUUAUAUAUUAAAAGUAAUAUAAGGUGAACCAGGAGCAAGGUAAAUAUGGUAGAAAAUUGCAC